rnacentral:lncRNA from 1 species
GAUCAUGGAAUUGUGGAUCAUUUUUUUACCCUACCAUAUAUCCAAUUGAAUGAGAUUUCUCAUAGAUCCUAUCGAUUUGUCUCGGGUUAACCAAAAGAGGUUAAUUACAUGAGUUUCAAACUUUAAUUUGGAUUAAAUUAAUAAUAAGUUUUAUCUUUUCUCCCACCUUCAGAAAAAUAAAGCAUAAGUGUUUCGGGAUUAUCGUCCGUUAGAUUUUUCUGAAGUAGUUGAUACGUCAAGGAAGUUUUACCUGGAAUAAAAGAACAAAAAUGGAUUCAUGGAGGUUUAAUUAGUGAAUCACGUCCACUCCAGAUUCCUUUAGAUAAUGAAGAUCUGAUUCUAGGUUAUGUUUCAAGAAGGGUCCGAUCGAGUUUUAUACGUAUACCACCGUGGGAUAGAGUCAACAAAAGUGAAGUAAGUGCUUAUGAUUCAACCAGGGGGCGUAUAAUUUAUAGACUCCGCAACAAGGAUUCGAACGAUUAGGUAGUUUUUUCAACUUCAAGAUUCCUUUCAGGGGGAUCCAAUUCAAGGUUCAAAAAUUUCAAGAAACUUAUUUUCUUCCAAUAAGUAGAUUCGAAAAAAAUUUAAGGAAUAACAACUAUGAAAUAAGGGCUUCCAUUCGUAAAAUUUGUGAAAAAUGUCAGACUAAUCCGUAAGAGGGGACGAAUUGUCAUAAUUUGUUUUCCAACCUGAGACAUAAACAGAGAAAAGGAUAAUCUUUCUAUUCUAAAAAAAACUCCUUAAAGUUAAAGAAAAAAAACUAAUCUUAGCAGGAUAGGUAGCCUCCAUGACAAGGGCGUCACAAGGUUGGAUAGGGAAGAAUGUCACGAACCUAAGAAAGAGUCUUGAAUCUCACAUUGAAUAUAAUAGAAAGGUCACUGGGGUAUAUAAGGGUUCACACCAUCUCUUCUUUAUGAAGACGCCUUUGUAGGACAAAACUGUGAGAUUAGAGGGGCCAAGUGGACAAUACCUCACAAGAGUGUGAAACCGUGGCUGAAUACUAUGAUUCACAUUUCGAAUAGGCAUGAAUACAACAUCUAUAGGAUAACUUCCAUCGUGAAAGUUCUUUGGCGUUUUUAUACCGUAUCCUCUAUUUCUCUCGAUUUGUAAUCCAAUACACAAAUCAAUUGGUUCGGUUAGGCUAGCUAUAUGCUGUGUAUUAUCAACGAUUUCCACAGAAGGCGGUAAGAUGAUGUCUUGAGUAGUUACAUAUCCAGGACCCUUGGCACAAAUAAAGGCGUUACGAGUUCCAUACAAAUUACUUCUCAAUACAAGAAAAAAGAGAAUUUCAUUGUAAAGCCGUAUGCAAUUGUAAAGCCGUAUGCAAUGCGUAAAAAAUGCCUGUACGGUUGUUCAAUUCUAUAGCUAUUCUUCUCGCCUCAUUAUGUGAGUUAGAAGUAUGUUAUAUCAUCAGGGUAAUGAUCCAUCAACCUAUUAGUAUGCUUAAGGAUGAUGGCUUCAAAGACUGGGUCAUGGAAACAGACGAAGUAAUGAAAAUGCAAGAAGACAUCAUAGGGGCUUAUGUACAAAGAACGAGCUAGCCCCGAUGGGUUAUAAACAAAGACAUGGAAAGAGAUAAUUUUAUGUCAGGAAAAGAAGCCAAAGAUCAUGGAAUUGUGGAUCAUUUUUUUACCCUACCAUAUAUCCAAUUGAAUGAGAUUUCUCAUAGAUCCUAUCGAUUUGUCUCGGGUUAACCAAAAGAGGUUAAUUACAUGAGUUUCAAACUUUAAUUUGGAUUAAAUUAAUAAUGAGUUUUAUCUUUUCUCCCACCUUCAGAAAAAUAAAGCAUAGGCGUUUCGGGAUUAUCGUCCGUUAGAUUUUUCUAAAGUAGUUGAUACGUCAAAGAAGUUUUACCUGGAAUAAAAGAACAAAAAUGGAUUCAUGGAGGUUUAAUUAGUGAAUCACGUCCACUCCAGAUUCCUUUAGAUAAUGAAGAUCUAAUUUUAGGUUAUGUUUAAGGAAGGGUCCGAUCGAGUUUUAUACGUAUACCAACGUGGGAUAGAGUCAACAAAAGUGAAGUAAGUGCUUAUGAUUCAACCAGGGGGCAUAUAUUUAUAGACUCUGCAACAAGGAUUCGAACGAUUAGGUAGUUUUUUCAACUUUAAGAUUCCUUUCAAGGGGAUCCAAUUCAAGGUUCAAAAUUUUCAAGAAACUUAUUUUCUUCCAAUAAGUAGAUUCGAAAAAAUUUAAGGAAUAACAACUAUGAAAAUAAGGCAUUCCGUUCGUAAAAUUUGUGAAAAAUGUCGACUAAUCCGUAAGAGGGGACGAAUUGUCGUAAUUUGUUCCAACCCGAGACAUAAACAGAGACAAGGAUAAUCUUUCUAUUUCUAAAAAGAACUCCUUAAAGUUAAAGAAAAGAAACUAAUCUUAGGCAGGGUGGGCAGCCUCCAUGACAAGGAGCGUCACGAGGUUGGGUAGGGGAGAAUGUCACGGACCUAAGGAAGAGUCCUGAAUCCCACAUCGAACAUAAUAGAAAGGUCACUGGGGUAUAUAAGGGUUCACACCAUCUUUUUCUUAUGAGACACCUUUUGUAGGAUAAAACCGUGAGGUUAGGGGAGCCAAAACGGAUAAUACCUCACAAGGGUGUGAACCGUGACAAGAAGGCUGAUCUGGGAUAUCGGAUGAGUAAAUGUCCGAAUUCCGGAGUCGCGUGGGUUCGAAGCUUAAGUCUCGACCCGUGACACAAGCCUGCCUCCUAGAAAGGGAGUUCCUACUUCCUACCAUAUCGAGCCAUAACCAGGAUGGAUGACAUUUCACCAAACAAAUCUCAUGGAUCAUAUUUCAUUCCCGGUUUCAGGGGUUCAAAUGUGCAAAAUUCAGAGGCAUUCGCGAUGAAAUUUUGUUAAUGGGUGAAGACCAAAUCGAGUUCUGUACGUAAUUGAGUCUUUACUCUUUUGUAUGUAGGACGAUCGAGCUGUGCAGUCAUGCACACGUGCAAGCAGAGGCAGAGAAAUUUGGAUUAAAAUAAUAUUGUACAUAUGUUCCACAUCAUCCACUUCAAUCAAUGUAUCAUUUUUGUCAAAUUACCCUUCAGGAACUGAAAUUUGGCUGGUAAAUUGUUGUUGGAACCGUGAUUGGAUUCUAUGGAGCAGUAUGUUUUGCUUUAGUAAAAAUGGAACACCUUAGACAGAUUAGCAGAUACAUCUGUUAAGGCUUACUUGAAGGGUGUUGAGACAUGGAAAAGGGAGACUGUAUUGAAACAGUACACUAAUUGUUAGUAAAAUCUUAAUCUCCUAAAUUAAUAACCUUAAAAUGCAUAUUUUAGCAGUAACCUGAGUGUGAUAUGCUAAUGCUACAAUGUGCAACACAUUUGGAUAUUGAAUUCAUUUCAUCCUUUCAUAAAUGCAGGAGGCUGCCAAUUUGUUGGAGUCAAGUAGUGAGCUCAUUCACUAUUCAUUUCACCAAAACAGAAUGCAUGGAUCAAACCUUGCUUAUCUAUAGUUUAUUUUUCCCGGGACAUCGUGACUCCGAUCGUGUACAAAACUCUUCCCGGUGGACCGAGCAAAAAGCCGGGAAAGGAAAUUGAGAGACGAGAGGUAGGUAAACUAAUGGUCAGUUUGUAGACCUGCGAUAACUAUCUUGAUCUUCAACCAUUAUUUGCUACUUACCAAUGCAGGCCACAAUUCUUGAAAACAGUCGAUGGAAAGAACUUGUUGCAGAUACCAGUUUCUGUUGGGGUAUAUCCGUUUGAGGCAAUUGGCCUGCACAAAGGAUGGAGAGUGGUUGCCUCCAAGGGAGAUGAAGGCACAAAUGGGAAAGUCUACCAGCUUGUUCUAUCUUGUGCUUGUGGCAUAGUUGCAGGAAUAAUUAGUGGACAUCUUGGAAUAUGUGGAGGAUUUGUUAUGGGUCCACCCUUUUUGGAGCUGGGAAUUCGUCCUCAGGUAACAUUAAGUCACGAGAAUACAUUGGUCUGGUCUAAGAUAUUUCAUUUCAGACAAUCAGAAGCAGUUGUUUACUUGUCUUAGUUUGUUUAUGACUUCCAAAGGGAUUUCAGAAAGAAUCUCACCUGUCUGAUUUCCAAAAGCUUGGAAACUCUGCAGGUCUCAAGUGCCACAGCCACAUUUGGGAUGACUUUCUCCCCAUCGAUGUCUGUUGUAGAAUAAUACCUUCUGAAUCGUUUUCCAGUUCCUUAUGGUGAGUAAUUCAGUGACUUGCCAUUCGGUUUCAACUUUGUUCUAGCACCCUUGCGAAGAGGCGGAAAAAAGGGUCUGUUUUCAUUCAAAUUCAUUCCCCAAUUUCUGAGUGCUGGGUAAAGGUUUUUUGCAACUGUUCUGGCAGCUUCAUACUCCAUCGCAGUGUCCAUCAUUGCCGCCUCAGCACAUUGUGAAUAAGCUGAUCAAUUUAACCGGAAAGGAAUCCAUAAUCAACUUUGUUCUACCAUUCACAAUAAUUGUCAGUGCAAUUUCACUAGGUGAGCAUUCUAAACAUCAUUCUCAUUUCUCUCUUGUUGGAUGUAGCCGUCUUCCUCCAUCUUCUGCUAAAACUGAAGGAAAUUAGUCAAUUUUUUUUUUACUUUUGGUUAUGAUUCGUAGGUGGGGUUGCCAUAUCAAGCAUGAUUAAGAAGAUUGAGCACAACGAAUACAUGGGAUUUGAGAACCUCUGCAAAGAUGAGGGAUACAAUUUCCCUUGAUUCUUACAUUUUCUACUGUGACUUGUAUGUGUUUCCUAGUAUUUUCCUAGGAAAAAAGAACAAAAAAACAAAAGGAAAAACAAAAAAUAAAGACAAAAGAUUGUCUUAUCUCUUCAUUGACGUGUAUUUCCACUCAUGCUUACCCAAUACUUAUCGGCUUUGAUAAGAUAUCGUGAACAUGCUAUUUCCUUUUCUUUCUUUUACAUUUCAUUUUAAUACACGAAUACUAAAAAACGAAGUAAUAUUAAACUACCUAUUUAAGGUUGGUUUAAUUUGUUUUUAAUUGUUUGAGGUUAAAUUUAUAGAGAAAAAUUAAUAUUUUAUAAAUUCAUUAAAUUAAAAUAAAUAAAUUUAUUUGAAUUAUUUUAAAAAAUUAUAUGAUCAAAACUUAAAAACUCAGCUUUAAAAAACAAAUUACUAUCAAACUUGUUAUAAUAAAAUUAGAAUUAAAACAUUUUAUAAGUCAAGUCAGAUUAAAUUUAAGUUAAAUUUAAAUAAAAUAUUGAUAAAUUUUAAAUUUAUUUAGAACUGAUCUGAUUUAAAAUAUAAUUUUUAUUUUAUUAUUUAAUCAUGAUCCAUUUAAAAUUCAAAUAAACUUAGAAUUUAUAUUCAAUUCCUUUCAAAUUGGACUCUUGAAUUAGGAUGCAGUAAUCCGACUUUUGUACAAGUGUAAUUGGAAUAGAAAUAUGAAGAAUUGUAUAAUAACUCAAUUUGUUUAAUAACAAUUGUAGUCAUAAAAAAAAACAAAUUUCCCGAAAAUUUAUUAUAAGAUGAGCUGGAAGGCGGUGGUAGCUUAACUAAAACGCUGUUAUUUGGAAACACGCAAGCAGGUUCUGCCUGCAUCUUGUCAAGGUUAUCUCAUCUUCCAAAUUCCCUAACUGAAGGGGAAAAAGGAAAGAAAAUUUGAAGAAAAAAAUGGUGUUUUACUUCAAAGCCCGACCAGAAGCUGGCGAUUACACCAUUUUCAUGGGACUGGACAAGUACGAGAACGAGGAACUCAUCAAAUAUGGCUUCCCCGAAGAUAUUUGGUAUUUUUCUUAAAUUUGUUUUUAUUUUUCAGAUACCGUGGUAAAUUUAUUGAAAUUUCAUCACUUUUGCUAUAAAUAAAGGGGGUCUUCAGAAAUUUGGGUGAUUGAAUUUAGUUUUAUUUAUUACAGGUUCCAUGUCGAUAAAAUGUCUUCUGCCCAUGUUUAUUUAAGACUUCAAAAAGGUCAAACCAUCGAUGAUAUAAGUGAAGGUUUGCUCGAAGAUUGUGCUCAGCUUGUUAAAGCUAAUUCCAUCCAAGGUUUAUUUUGAUUUCAUCAAUUUCUUUUAUGUAAAAUGUAAUUGAAAUGUGUUUGAUAUAAUAGGUUGCAAUUUUCUUUUUGUUUUAAUUAUCAUGUGAGGUUAGGCAACAAAGUGAACAAUAUUGAUGUUGUUUACACUCCAUGGUCCAAUUUGAAGAAAACUCCUUCCAUGGAUGUUGGCCAAGUUGGCUUUCACAAUUCCAAGAUGGUAGACUUCUUUAUUACUUUGAUUAUUGUUAUUAGGAUAUUAUUACUAUUUUCGAUUAUGUUUUUUCUUCUAGAAUGGUUGUUUCUUUGAUUUUAUUGUUUGAUUUAGGUCCGGACUGUGAGAAUGGAGAAGCGGAUAAAUGAGAUAGUUAAUAGGUUGAACAGGACUAAAGUGGAAAGGAAACCUGAUUUGAAAGGUAUGUGAAUGUCUUGCGGUUUCAUUUUCUGCUAUGACUUAGGACUAAAGUAGUAUUUCCAUUGUUUAUGAAAGAAAUUUGGUGUGAUUUCUGUGGUUUUGUAUUUUGCUUGUUAUGCUUUUAUGCAUCUUGUUUUCCAUCCUAGUAUGCGGUAAUGUUGGUUUUGCAUUUUGCAUCUUGUGUACUACUCUAUGCUAGGUAUAUUGUUUUUGAAAUUACAAUUCUUUUAUUUGAUCUUGAUGGAACUAAUGCGGCUUAAUAUAAUAUGUUGUUGCAGCUGAGAGAGAAGCGGUUAAUGCAGCAGAAAGAGUAGAGAGAAAGCAACAACUGAGGGAAAAAGUGAGCCCUUUUUUCUUUGUCUUGUUUUUUCUUAUUUGGUUGAUUUGAUACUGGCUACAUCAGCUGAUGGUUUAUAUGGGCAUGCCAUAUAACAUGAAUAUCCUAAAUGGUUGUAGCAUGAAAAUAGAAGUUAUCCAACUGGAUUUUGCUUAGGGUAAAAAAUUAGUUAUACCAUAGCAGAUUCAUGAAGCUGAGGUAGGAGUUAGAUAAUCUAUAAAGAAUAAAGGAUAUAAUAGAACAUAUAUAUUGCCAUUUAGUUAAAUGUUUUGAUGUUGUAGUUCAAUAUACAUCAUUAUAUACUUGGAUUUUGUUUCUUCUUCAAUUUCUUAAACCAAAUACAUAUAUUUGUGUGGAAAAACUAAGAAAUAAAACUAUGUAGAAAACUAAGAGAAAAAUUGAAUGUAUAUUGAAAAACUACUCAUUUCGAAUUAUACAAGAACCUUAGGUUUAUAUACAACUAACUAGGGGUUAAAUUAGGAAACUAAAUCUUCCUAAAAAACUAAUCCUAUAAUUGAGGGAUUGUCUAUCCUAAUUUUUUGUCCUUAAUUAUAAGGAUACAAAUACUUAAUUCUAGAGAUACAAAUAUAAAUAUACAGAUUACAAUAUUACAAUUAGCUGUAAAUAAGUGUUUUUUCACACUCCCCUCAAGCUGGUGAAUAGGUGUUUUUCAUUCCCAGCUUGAAAUAAUUUCUUGAAAUGUUGUACUGCUGAGACUUUUAGUCAACACAUCUGCAAGUUGACCCUAGGUUGAUACAUAAGGUGUACAAAUCAACCCACUGACUAGUCUCUCCUUUAGGAAUUGCCGGUCUACUUCCAUGUGCUUUGUUCUGUCAUGUUGCACAGGAUUGUGUGCAAUGCUUAUUGCAGACUUUUAUCACAAUAGACUCUCAUUGGUCCAUCCCAUUUGAUCUUCAAGUCUUCUAAGAUAAUUUUUAACCAUAGUAGUUCACAAAUUCCUUGAGCCAUUGCUCUGAACUCUGCUUCAGCAUUUGAUCUUACCACCACAUUCUGUUUUUUACUCCUCCAAGUCACAAGAUUACCACCUAAGAAAGUACAGUAACCUGAGGUGAAUCUAUCUAUCAGUUACUGAACCUGCAUAAUCAGCAUCUAUAUAUGCUUCUAGAACUAGCCCCGAAUUUCUUUUGAAUAAGAUACCUCUCCCAGGAUUGGCCUUCAAAUAGUGCAAUAUACGGUAGACAGCCUGUAGGUGUACUUCUUUAGGACUAUGCAUAAAUUGACUUACCACACUCACAGCAUAUGCUAUAUCAGGUCUAGUAUGUGAGAGAUAAAUGAGUCUUCCAACUAAUCUUUGGUACAUCUCUCUAUCAACAACAGCAUCUUCAUUAGCUUCUCCAAUUUUAUGAUUAGGAUCUAUAGGGGUAUUUGCAGGUUUACAUGCGAGCUUCCCAGUUUCCUUCAGAAGAUCUAUCACAUAUUUUUGUUGUGAGAUGAAGAUACCAUGUCGUGAGUGAGCUAUUUCAAUUUCUAAGAAGUACUUCUAUCACCUUAGCUCUUUUAUCUCAAAUUCUCUAGCCAAACAUUAUUUUAGAGAUUCUCUCUUUUUCAUCAUCUCCAGUUACAAUUAUAUCAUCAACAUACACUAAUAGAAUCGUGACUCUUCCUGAAUUAGAGUGCUUGAUAAACAAUGUGUGAUCUCCUUGACUCUGUUUAUAUCCCAUUGCUAGCAUCACUUUGGCAAAUCUCCUGAACCAAGCCCUAGGAGACUGUUUAAGGCCAUAUAAAGCCUUUUUUAACUUGCAUACUUUGUUUAGCUUCUAGAUGACCUCCAAAUCCCGGUGGAACCUUCAUAUAUAUUUCUUCUUCCAAAUCACCAUGUAGAAAAGUAUUCUUUACAUCAAAUUGUUGAAGCUACCAAUUGUAAUUUGCAGCCAAUGAUAACAAAAUUUUAAUUGUAUUCAUCUUGGCAACUGGAGUAAAGGUUUCCUGAUAAUCUACUCCUAGGUUUGAGUGUAGCUCUUAGCCAUUAACCUGGUUUUAUACCUUCAAAGUAUUAUCGCCUUGUAUUUUACACGUGAAAAUUCAUUUACGAUCUCACGAAUUUUUUCUUUAGGCAAUCUCUACUAGUUUUCACAUGUCUGAUUUUUUUCUAAGGUCUCCAUUUUUAUUUUCAUGGCUUGCCUCUAUUUCUCACUGGAUAAUGCCUCGAAUAAUGUAGUUGGAACAGAAAUAGUGUUUAGGCUCACAAGAAAAUUUUUGUGGGAUGAUGAGAAUUUUUUAAAUGAGACAAAAUAAGAGAUUGGGUAUAGUGGAUGCUUAGUACAUUCUCUGGCUCUUUUUUUAAUGGCAAUAGGUAGAUCAUAAUCACUAGUUAUAGUUUUAGGAUAUUCAUGCUCAUUUUGAGGAAUAGAGUCAAAAACUGUAGUUACCUCAUUUUCAGAGUUAGGAUCAGGUACUUGGACUGGCACUAGCUCAGGAUCUGAAAUUUUUUUUUUAGUACACCUGUAAUUCCUUUCAUAGAAUCAAGAACAAUAUUAUCUUUGUCAUAUCUUCUGUAUUUGGAAUGGGUUCAGACUCAAAUUCAGUGUUUGACUUGGGCUCAGUAGAAACAUAUUUCGACUCAGAAGAAUUAAUGGGUUAAAAUGUUGAAGAAGGGGACAAAUCAAGCAAAAAGAAGUCUUUAUUUUUAUCUUCCAUGAAUGAAGUCUUCCCCUGAAGAUAAGGUUGAGUAAAAAAUGGUUUACUUUUUUCAAAAGUGAAAUCUGUAGACACAAAUUUUUUGGUAGGAGGAUGAUAGCAGUUAUAUCCUUUUUGAGUUGCGGAAUACCCCACAAAAAAUACACUUAAUUGCUCUUGGAUCUAACAUUCUCCUGUUAUGACUAUGAACAUGAACAAAUGAUGUACAACCAAAUAUCCUAGGUGUGAGAUUGUUUGUGGUAUUAAGAUUGGGAUAAAAUUAUGAGAGUAGUUUCAUAGAAGUUUUAAAUCCCAAAACCCUUGAAGGUAACCUAUUUAUAAUGUGUGUGGCAGUGAGAACAGCUUCCCUCUAGUAAGAUUUAGGUACAUUUGCUUGAAAAAGAAAGGCUCGGGUUGUGGCUAGUAAAUUGUUGUUUUUCUCUCUGUCACUUCAUUAUGUUGUGGAGUAUUAACACAAGAUGACUCAUGGUAAUCCCUCUUUUUGAAAAUAGGUGGAUAGAGUCUGGUUGAAGUAGUCUCUUGCAUUAUCAGACCUAAAUCUCUUGAUUUUCACUCCAAAUUGAUUUUGGAUCAUGUUUUGGAAACUUAAAAACAUACUAUUCACAUCUGAUUUAGAUUUAAGUAAAAUAACCCAAGAGACCUUGGUACAAUCCUCUAUGAAUGAAACAAACCAUCUUGUGUUACUUGAUGUCUCAAGAUAGUAUAGUCCAUCCUUCUCCUUAGCAAGUCCAAUCAUCUUCCCCGAUCUCUGGUCCUGAAAUUCACAAUAAGAGGGAUAAAAAGUCACUUUGCAAUUCAUAUCUCUAGUAAGUUUUUGUAUAGAUAUAAGAUUAGUAGACAAUUCAGGAACAUGAAGAACAUUUUUUAGAACAAACGAGGGAUUAACUUGAACAUCUCCUAAUCCUGUCACUGUAGUAAGUGAACCAUCUGCAACAACAAUUUUCUUAUUACUAGGACACAGGGUAUAUAUAUUAAACUUCUGUGAGGAAUGUGUCAUAUGGUUUGUAGCUCUUGAGUCAAUAAUCUAAAAACUCGUAAUAGGUUUAACCGAGACAUUUAAUCCAUGAGAACCAGAAGUUUUACCUGAACUAGAGACCUUAUUCAAAGAACAUACCACAAUAGGUUUUUUAAGGAUUUUCAAUAAGUUUCUCAGCUUUUCAAUCUCUUUCCUAUCGAACUCUUUUUGUUUCCGAGACAUCUGUAGUAUUCCAGUGAUUUUUUCAGUUGACACUUCUUCAAAUUGGGUGGUAGUGAUAUAUCUUUCUUUGAAAGGGUUCGGCAAUGAAGGCCUAAACAGGGUUCGACAAUAAAGGCCUAAAAUAGAAAUCAGCAAUGAAGACUGAAAAUUUUGCUUUCCAAGAAGAGCCUAAAGCUCUGAUACCAUGUGAAAAAAUUAAGAAAUAAAAUUAUGUAAAAAACUAAGAGAAAAAUUGAAUGUAUAUGAAAAAUUGCUCAUUUCGAAUUAUACAAGAACUUUAGGUUUAUAUACAACUAAUUAGGGGUUAAACUAGGAAACUAAAUCUUCUUAAAAAACUAAUAUUAUAAUUGAGUAUUGUCUAUCUUAAUUUUUUGUCCUCGAUUCUAGAGAUACAAAUACUUAAUUCUAAAGAUACAAAUAUAAAUAUAAAUAUAAAUAUAAAUAUACAGAUUACAAGAUUACAAAACUGUAAAUAAUUAUUUUCCCACAAUUUGCAAUUUGCUAAUAAAUAAACUAAAUGACUGGAAACUAUGGUAGAAUAGCACAAUGUUUUAAUGGAUUUUUGUUCUGCAUUUCUUUGCUGCUAAUAAUUCAGAUAUUUGCCUUAAAACCCUAAGAAUUUACUAGGGUUGUGUGGCUUAUACAAUACUUAUACGAUAGGUACUAGGCGUUGAAGCUUAAUUUACAAUUCAUGGAUUGUGAUUAGAAAAUAUGCAGAUUAUAGUCUCAUCUUAUGCACACGUAUGUUUACCCAUCCAUAUACCUAUUCUUAAUUGAAUGUGUAAAAUGAAAAUCUUUUGAUUUCUUUGGCAGAAACGACGUGAGGAACUGGAAAGGCUUGAAAAGGAAAGACAAGCAGAGAUAAGAAGCUACAAGGGUUUCAUGGUGUCUGAAAAGAUGACAUCAAACAAACAAAUUGCAGCAACAAGCAAGUCUCUGCAGGAACUUGAAGAGGAUUUUAUGUGAAACAUAUUAGUAUUUCAGUGUCAAUCAAGACGCUGCUGGCUGCCAAAAACUUGCUGCCCAUCAAAGAAGGGCGGUUUGUUGUUACUUUUUGAUUGCUGGCUCGAAGUUAUUUGCCUUAUGAAUAAGUCACCUCAGUCCUGGAUAUUUACUUCCAUCGGUUUUGAUAAGAAAAAGAGACAACAUGGUAUGGAAACUAACUUCAAGGAGUAGAAUGAAGUAAAGGUUGAGGGUGGGAGAGAUGAGCUUCUGUUAUAGUUGCAAUAUAUACUACUAAACAUGAUUCAAAUCUCAAUUGUCGAUUGAUUACUGGGUGAUCUUUUUUCAACUUUAACAUUUAUUCAGGUUGCAACUUUGCAAAUCAUCAUGCCAUAUUACAAUGGUUUUAAGUUUGUUUUGCUUAUGUUUACCGCAUAAACUCACUGAUGCUAUCAAGGGAUGCUCGAGGUUGACAAUUUUUUAUGGUUGUGCUUAGUGCAUGCUCAAGAGGAUGACCACUAAGAUUGAUUUUAGUGAUGGUGGAUCUCUUGUUCUUUUUUCUUGUCAUGUUUCUUAUGUCUUCUCCAAGUUUUUAGUGAAAGAUUUUGGUUAAUGAAGAAUGGAAAUUAGUUUGGGGAGGUUCUAAUAGAAGGCCUUCCUUCUGUUUCAAGAUCUCAUUGUAGUUAAGUGCAUCAUGCUAUUGUUUAUCUGCGCGGCCUCUUACUGAAAAAAGAACCCUGUUAUCCACAAGAGCCAUAAUUGGUCUAACCGGGUCUGGACUCUGAAGUCGGCCCGCUACUGUGCGGCUGAUGAAUUGGGAGUUGAGUUGCGGUUAUUGCUGCGAAACGAGAAAUUUACUAAAUUUUCUAAAAUAAAAUAUAUUCAUAUAGGAGUUAUUAUGAUUGUCAUAAAAUCCCUUUUUAUAUCAGGAAAAGACACUUUUAUUUUAGCAGUUUUAAUGUAAAAGAUUUUCAAACUCAGUAAAUGCUAUAAUUGAGAGAAUUCAAUCUAAUUUAGUUACUAGUGUAGUUUGGUUUAAAGUAAGAUUAAAUUAUUUUAUUUCUAUCACUAAUCUUUUCAUAGAAGAUUGCUUAAGACUUCGAACCAAAAUAAAAAAUUUUGAUUUGAAUGAAAUUGCUCAUGAUCUUUUUAUUAAUUGAACAGCUAUUUAUAAGCUUAUGAAUGUUAUUUUUACAUUUAUCAAACAGAUAGUUCCAAAAAUUAUUGAAAUUUUUGAAUUUAAAUCUUUUGAUACAAAAAUCAAACCAAGAUUAAUGGAUUUUAGAGAUUUAUCUAUCCAUCAAGAUGGUUACUUGAAGAUAUCUCUAAAAAAAUACUUAUAAAAAAUAGAGUCAAUUCUUUAGAAUUUUUCGCUUAUGGUAAUAACGUAUAUUUUAAAAUCCUUGAAAUUGGUAGAUCUAAUUCAAACCCUGAUUUAGUUCUACCCUUUUCAAUUUCGUCAUUUUCCAAUCAAGAAGAUGAGACAAAAAGUCUAUGUAGCAAUCAAUCCUUUGCUACACCAUACAAAAUUUUUUUUUUUUUCAGGUUUUCAAUGGAGUAAUAGUACAAAUAGCACUCAAAUUUCAAUAUUUUUAAGUGAUAGUCAAUCACAACCAUCAGUUUGCAAUACAUUAAACUCAGUUUUAAAUUCAAUCUCUUAUACUAGAAAAACUAGAGAAGAAUAAAAAAGUCUUGCUAUCAUUUCACAAUACAAAAUUGGUGAAAAUGAUAUCAUUACAUUUUUUAAUAAUCAACCAAAACAGUUUUACAAUUAUGUACAAGGAGAAUUUUGUUUUCAAAAAUAUAAACCUUAUUCUCUCCAUAUUUUAUUAGACACAAGAGCAACAAUCUUUAGUUGUCAUAGUCAUGCACUUUCACUAAACAAAUGGAAACCCAUGAAACAUCCAAUAACAAGAAUAGAAAUUGAUGGUAAAGAAACCAUCAUUGGUUUUAAAGCAAAGGAUAUUCCUAUUUAUUUUAACAAUAUUAACUUAUUAUUCCAAAAGUAAUUUGUUUUCCUCAUAUGUAAAGAGACAUGCUAUUAGGAUAUAAUUUUCUUUAUAAUUAUUUUCCUUUAAGUUUUAAUCUUGAUAAAGUCACUAUGACUAUAGAUAAACAAUCUAUAGACAUUCCUUUAAUAAAAAAAUCAUAAGCAUAUUUAUGAUAAAGAUUUUCAGCUUGAAACUAAUAAAGCUGAGAUAAAAGCUAUCAGUGAAAAACAUUGGUUAUUCAAAGUUUUUUUUGAAAAUUUUAGUAAAGAACCAUUAAAAUUAUAGUUUAGAAGUCCUCGAUAUUAUGAUCUACAAAUCAUAUAUCAUAAUAUUCGUGUUAAACCAAUGAUCUAUACCAAACAGGAUAUAGACGAAUUUGAAAUUCAAAUUUUAGAUCUUUUACAAAAAAGUUUAAUUGAACUAACAAAUAGCUUACAUUCUAGUCUUGCUUUCAUGGUAAAAAAUCAUGUUGAGCAAAAAUGAGGUAAAGCUAAAUGGUAAUCAACUGUAAAAAGCUUAACCAAAAUCUUGUUUUCAAUGGAUAUUUCAUUACAAGAAAAGCUAUUUUAAUAAAUUUAGCAAAAAAUGCUAAAUAUUUUAGUAAAUUUGAUUGUAAAUCAGGUUUUUGGCAAAUCAUGCUUUCUAAAUAAUCAAAACCCUUGAUUGCUUUUAGUGCUCUAUAGGAACAAUACCAAUGGACAACAAUGCCAUUUGAUCUCUGUAAUGCACCUCAAAUAUUUCAAAGAUGGAUGGACAUUAUUUUGUAAAACACAAAAAAUAUUGUUGCAUCUACAUUGAUGAUAUUCUUGUUUUUUUAGAAACUUUGAUUCAACAUAGAACUCAUCUCAAUUUAAUUUCUCAAGAAUUUAUAAAACAUGAAAUUAUUCUCAACCCAAAAAAGAUUGAGCUAGAAAAAACAAAAAUUAAAAUUUUUAAGAUUAAAUCUUUGUUUUGAUGGUCUUACUUUACAAUAUCAUAUUAUUUCAAAAAUCAAAGAUUUUUCAAAAACAUUGGAAAAUAAAAAACAUUUACAAUAACUUUAAAAUUUUUUUAAUUAUGGAAGACAUUUCAUAAAAAACCUCUAUAAAAAAAAGAAGCUUUUACAAGAAAAAUUGAAAAACAAUACCCUUUUUUUUUUUUUUUACGAAACAAGAUACUGAAAUUAUCAAAUAGAUAAAAUCAAAUCUUAUUUAUAUUCCUAAAGUUUGUCUUCCUAAAUAAGGCGAUCAACUGAUUUUAGAAACUAAUGUCUCAGAUGAACACUGUGGAUGUGUUUUACAAGCCAAAGUUCAAAAUAAUGAACUUAUUUGUGGAUACAAUUAAGGAAAGUUUAAACAAAACAAAAUAAAAUAUAUAAUUUUUGAAAAAAAGUUACUUGUUAUAAAAAAUGUAGUAACACGUUUUCAUAUAUAUCUUGCACCUAAAAAUUUUACAAUUCAAAUUGAUAAUUAGGCUGUAAGAGAUUUUCUUAAAAACAAGAAAAUAGACAAUAAUACAAAAAAGAUUAAAUGGUAUAAUUUUUUAUGUCAAUAUAAUUUCAAUAUUGAGUUUAUUAACAAUGAUAAAAUAUUAUUAUAGAUUAUCUUAGCUGGCCAGAUGGAUAAAGGCAAAAAGCCUCUAGAAAACAAAGAAGAAUGGCAAACCAUUCAGAAGAAGCAAACUAAAAAGGUUACCUCUUCUUCUUCAACUUCUUAAAAUCUUAACCUAGGAUUUACACAUUUUGUUUACCUUCUAUGAGGAUAUUUAAUCCAAAUAUUCCUCUAAGACCUUAUUUUCAAUUUCUACAAUUUGUAGUACAAUCGAUAUUACAACUGUAAAACCUUUCUCAAUUCUCACAGAAUCCUAACCAAUGAACACCUGUUUCAUAUUCUCAGAUUGUUAAGUAAACAAAAAACCUGUUGCAAAAAGAUUUCUAUAAUCCUAAUCUUAACCUAAAGACUUAUAAUCUUUUUAAUAAUAUUUGAAAAUCCCAUUUGACAGAAAAUAAAUCUCAAUUUCGUAAAGGGAUGAUCAAAUUAGCUGAAUUUUUUGUCUCAAACCAAAAAUCAAGCCCAUCUUGAAGAAAUGGUUUUAAAAAAUCUUUGUGAAUCAAAUUUGCUAAAACAGCAAGAUAUUAAUUUCUUUGCAGUAGAAGAAAACCAAUACAGUAUAGAGGAAAUAAACAAUUUCCUCGAACUCUAUGAAUAUUUUAAGUAAAAAACUCAUUCUUCAAAAAUAUUAAAACUAAAAACAAUUUUACUAUUCGAAAAAGCUACAAUAUUCUUAACAAAAGAAUUAUUUCUGCAAAUCAAUCAUUCAAUUCUUUUUGAAAUACAAAAAAUAUUGCGAGAAAAAUUUGAAGAAUACUACUUUGCUAUCUAUAUAGAAAACCCAAAAAUAGGUGAAAUCUUUCCUCUAAUAAAAUUCAAACUUGAUCAUGAUCCGUUCGAUGUAAAAAGCAUUGAAAUCGAAAUUGUUGGACAAAUCCUUAUUCAAAAUUUUUCUUUUAACAAAUUGCUCCUUUUUCCUACAUUUAUCAAAUCAAUAGUUACUGAAUUUGUAAAAAAUAAUCAGCAUUUCUUAUAUGUACAUUUUUGAAUUACUAGUAUGCUUAAAGUUUUCAAAGAGAGAUUUUUUCAGCCAUAUCAAAUCUGAAAAAUGACAAAACCCAUGUCAGGACCACUCCUAGAAUCUCAAAAUGACUCCAUUGAAAAUCUAGAACAAUUGGAUUUAGUCAUUAAAAAAUUCUCUAAUCCUUCCAACUAUCAAUUUCAAGUAGGAAUUACAUUGAUGCAGCAUGCAAAAACAUUGCAUACUCAGAUAAUUUCUUGCAAAUUCCCCUACAUUGAUUUCAGAACAAAUGAAAAAAGGAAUUUUGUUCGUAAGACAUGAGCAAAUAUAGGAAUAAUAGAACCAGAAGCACUAGAUCUAUUAUACAAAAUUUCUACCAUGGAAGAAUUAGAUCAUCCAAAGCAUUUACUAUUCUAAUAUCAAGAAGGAUGACAGAUUUGGAAUAAAUCUAGAACAGGCUCUCUACAAUCUUUUAAUCCUAAAGAUGAAAAGUUUGUUAAUCUAGAUAAUAUUCAAGAAUGAUAGCACUAUUCCAACAAAAAAUAAGCCACCACUGACACAAACAAACAACUUGCAUCGGUAUUUGAAAUAGCUAAAAAGCUAGAAGACAAACUUCAAUUUGCUACAGUAAAAAGAUAAAAAUAAUCGUCACUAUUGAAAAUAACUGUCAACUUUUACUUUACAUACUAUAGUUAGUUACUAUACAAAUCAUAAUUUAGAAUCUUCAUAAAUAGAACCUCUUUGCAUUUGUUAGGGCAAAGUCUUUCGGAGCUCUUUUCUCUUUUCUUUCUUCUCUCUCUUUUUCGUAACAGCUCUCUUAAGCUCUUAAGUUUUCAGCUCUUAAACCAAGAGUUUUCGAUAAUCCAUUUCUUUAUGAUCCUUUUGUUUUGUUCUGUAAAUGGUAUUAGAGCCUUGAAUCUAAAUAUAGUUUAUUUUAUUUCUAAGAGUAUCGUAUAAAGCGAUAUUAUUAGAGGAAGUACUUGAACUAUUGGACUUUUUUAUCCAUAAUUCUAAAUAAGUAGAACAAUUUUGUAAACAUAAUUCAUUCCAUAGUGAAGAAAGUUUAUGAAAAUAUUGUUCUUUCCAAAAGUUUGAAUAUUUUCAUCCAAUCUUUGGUAUUCACUUCAUAUAUUUUUUAAAAUAAUCAUCAAGGUUUUUUAUGUUACAUAAUUCUAAUUUUGAUAGUAUAUAUUGAGCUUCAUUGUUAGGAUUAGCUUCAUCCAUACUACCAUAAAAUUCAUUUUUUAAGAUAUGGGUUAGGCUUUUGAGUAUAUCUGGAAUAAUAGUAAUUUGAUUUAGGAGAUUUCCUUUUUGGGUUUUUCCUAUUUCAGAAUUUUUUCAUUUUCGAAGAAAUUAUAAAACAUUUUCUUGCCAUAUUUCACAAAAAUAAUUUAAAAAAUUUUCUUUAGCCUAAUUAUCUUUGUAGUGAGUUACUACAACAGACAUUGAUUGUGCCUAAUCAUCUAUGAUUUUUUCAUGUUCUGAUAAUGAGAUUUUUGAUAAAUCUAAAUAUGUUCCUCCAGAUGUAAUAUUUAUCUUGUUUAGAGAUUCAAUGUUUGUAUUGCUAGAACUUUAGGUUGUUUACCCUAGUUCUGUAUUUUUUAUCUCAUCUUUUUUUAUAAGAUAAGGUUAAUGUUGUUCAAGAAUGUCUAAGUUAGACAUUUCUAGAAAUCUUAGUAGAUAAUCAAUUUCUGGAUUAAAAAUUUCACCUACUUUUUUUUUACCACGAUUUACUAUUUGUGGAUCUGAUUUUUCUUCUUCUUCUAUUUCUUCAGAAGUUUCAAAUUUGACUUCAUCUUUUACUAAUGAGUUAGUAGCUAGGAUGUUAUCAAAAUUAUCAUUUAUGCUUUCUUACUGGAACUUUCAUUAGUGGUAUCAUAAUUUACCAUAUAAUGAUAAAUAAAUUUUGUAAAAAGGCUUAUAUGGGUAUGAUAUAAAUUUUUGAUCAUUUUUAAAUAUUCCACCCGUUCUUUUGGAGGUUUUUAAUUUUUCAUCUUUUGUUUAAGAUGUUCAAUCAAAUUUUUGUAAGAUUGAAAAUCCAUUUCCUGUUGUUUAGAGAAAGUAGGAUUUUUUUAGGUUGAUGGUUUAUCAUCGUUGAUCAUAAUAGUAUUUCCAUAAUAUAAAGGACCAAAAUCAUUUGUUUGUGAUUUUUGUUCUAAUUUAUCAGUAAUAUUAUUAAUUUUUUCUUCAAUUUUAUCAAUUUUUAUAAAUUUUUUUUUAAAAAAGAAGCAGACAAAUCAAUAAAACCAUUUACAGAUAUACUAAUGGCAUGCGGUUGUAAUUUUAAAAAAGAUUUUAUAUGUAAAUUAUGAUUAUAAAUUUAAUCUGAGUAGAUACAAUUAUAUUCUUCAUUUUGUUCUAUGUUUUAGGUUCUUAAAACCAUUUGUUUUUCGAUAAGGUUUCUUAAAAGCCAAUUAACAAAGGUAAUUGCAGCCACAAAUACCAGCAAAGGAACUAGAAAAACAGAUAGGGGUUUCAAAAUAUAAAACAGUUUUCAAAAAAUAAAUAGUAAGAGAUCGAAAGACUUACAAAAAAUAUCACACUACGAACUUUUCUUUAUAUAUAUAUAUAUAUUUAUUUAUUUAUCUGAAAUACAACGCACUCUCCAUCUACCACCGCCCUGAAAAGCUUGGUGUAUGAUGGAGAAUCUCUCACUUUAAUUCAACCAAAUUUAUUAAUGCAAUAAAAGUAAACUUUUGCCCUUAUAUUUGUGUGGUGAAGCUAUAUUCGUAUAAUCAAUAUAAAUCCAAGUUAUAGAUUAGUAAAUUUACUAUUAAUAUUGUAGUAUAUUUUAUGAUUUAUGUUUUCAAAAAUAUUUUAUUUUAUUUUUAAUUUAUUGAAUUUGAAAAUAUGUUUGGAUAGAAUUUUUUGUUGUAGAAAUUUGUUAAUAGAUAAAAGAAAGUGAUUAAAAGAAGUUUGGUUAAAAUAAUAAAAAAAAACUUUUAAAAUUUAUCAUUUUAUUUACUUUACAUAAGAUAUUGAGCAUGUAAGAUAUCAGUUUCUUACGACCAUAAAUACUUGAAAUAAAAUUUUUACUUAUGGCAAGUUAAUUUUUAUUUGAUUAAAGAGAACUAAAAAAAAAUUAUAUUACUUUACUGAAAAAUAAAAGUUUAUUUAAAUAAACGAAGUAUAAGAGUUUAAUUAAGUACAAUAAAUAAAAAUUAUUUAAAAAAUAAAAAAAUUUAGGAGGUUUUUUUUUAAUAUUUUAAACCUAAAAUUUUAAAUUAUAAGAUGAUAGAGAUUUGACUCGUUUUAACAAUCUUUUUUAAAAAUUUUCAAACAUUAAAAUUGAUACUAUAGUUAUACUGUAAUAUUGUAGUCCUGUAGACGAAUAAUGCCAAAAACGUUUUUGAAAUUUAAAACUUUCAUUUUUGUGUUUUCAGUGAUUUUAAAAUAUUUUCAAAACUUUAUUUUCAGUUAUUUGUUUUUGAAAACAAAAUAAUUUAUUUAGAUAUAUUUUUGUUUUAAAUUAAAAAAAUUAGAACUCAAAACAAAGCGUUAAUAUGUAUAGCCAAUCUAUUGAUCUCUUAUGAUUGUCUAAACUAUCCUUGAAAUUGAAUCUAUUUUAUAAAUCAAAUCUUCGAUUUAAUUAAACUUUAUUUAUUUUAUUUAAAAAAAAAUUUAGAAUAGAUAAGAUAUUUAGUUUCUCAAAUUUAAAAAAAAUAUAUAUCAUAUUUGAUAAUUUAAGAUAAAUAAUUAUAAAUUAUACAUUUAAAAUAAUUUUAAUAAAUAAUUAUCAAUAAAAUUUAAAUUUAAAAUUUCUUCAUAAAAAAAAUUAAAUCUAAUUGAAACCAACCGCUUAUUAGUUUAAUUAAACUUUAUACUUCCUUGUAAAAGAUUUUUUGACUUUGAAAAUGGGACGGCAAAGGGUAAUUUUAUGUUGCCGUGACAAAGGGACAAAGAUAUUUGGUAGAGGGAAGUUCGUGCAGGAAGUUACAAUAAAAACAUAAACAUACUUAAAAAACCCACAAUAUAACUCCGAAGCCCAAUCCAAGCUACUCCUAAACCCUAAACACAACCGCUCUCUUCCUCUGUCUCAACUCUUCCAAAUCUCUGUCUCUCAAGCACUUACCGUACAGCAAUGGCGACUCCUUCUUUGAGCGAAGAUACUGCCAAGGCUGUUCUUCGCCAGGUCAAAAUCCCCCCAUCUUUUUAAGUUCGAUUUCCUUUCUCUUCAAUCGCUUCGCAAUUGGUGUUGUUUAACUUUUUUUUUUUAAAUACAGGUAGAGUUUUACUUCAGUGAUAGCAAUAUUCCAAGAGACGAUUUUCUCAAGAAAAAAAUCAGCGAGAGCGAAGAUGGCAGUAUCCUUUCACUUCAAUCGUCCUUUUUUGUUUAAACUAUUUUCCCGUUGUUUGACUGUGAAGAAUUUUCUUAAAAAAAAUUUUGGAUGUCUUAUUUAUUUAUUUCAUGGUGCUUUGUUUUUGUCGUUGAUCUUGACUGUGAAUAAAAAGUGGUUAGUUUGGCAUUGAUUUGUUCGUUUUCAAAGAUGAGAGGCCAUUUGAAUUUAAAGGCUGUGAAGGCGGAUGAUGUACCAGAGGUUACUCUGAAAGCCGUUGCUGAAACUCUCAGAACUUCCUCUUCCCUCAAGGUUUCUGAAGAUGGUCAGUUUUAUAAACCUCAAAAAAAAAAAUUGUUUUUUCUUUUAAGCUAAGAAAUUUAGGUCAUAUUUGGUACAUAAAAUUAUGAUAAAAUAGGAUGAGAUGAUAUUACGAAUAGGAUUAGAUUAAAAAAAUGACAUCCUAUUUUAUGUUUGAUGUGUGCAAGGAUUAAGAUAGGAGAAUUUAUUUAUUGGUCAAAAUUAUCUUUUCUCAAAAUUUAUACAAUUUAAAUUGUUAAUGUAAUUUUAAGGGUAUAAUAGAACAUGUAAGUUUAAUCCCAUGGAUUAAAUAAUUCUCUCUAUUUUGAGAGGAUUGAAUCAUCCUAUACUAAGAGAAUGAUAAUCCUCUUUGUAAUCUUAUCCCUUUCAAUUAAAUACAAACCAAACAUAAUAUAGAAUGAUUAUUAUGCUGUCUUAUCCAUUAUCUUAUGCACCAAAUCUGACCCGAAAGGUUUCUUUUCUUCUUUUUUUUUUUUUUCAGGGAAGAAAGUUGGUAGAAGCACUGACCUAUUAGACCCUGACGAAAUGAUAGAGCAAUUGGACAGUAGAACAGUUGCUGCAUCACCAUUCGAGUACAAUGUCCAGAGGGAAGAUGUAGAAGCCUUUUUUGGGAAAUAUGCUAAGGUAUUGCUCAGUGAUGGUAAUAGUUGUUCUGUUAUCAAAUAUUUUCUUGUUUAGUUACAAUGCGAAAACCAAUUAUUUGUUUACGGGUUACGGAUAUGUUUGCCAUUUAAUCUAAACUGAUUGUCUUCUUACUUAUUUUAGGUUAAUAGUGUGAGGUUGCCUGGUCAUGUGACGCACAAAAAGUACUUUUGUGGCACGGCUUUGAUUGAAUUCUCUGCUGAGGAGGAUGCCCAAAGGUUCUUGGAGCAAAGCUUGGUUUUUGCAGGCGCUGAGCUGGAAUUAAAACCAAAGUAAGCUAUAUACGUGGCUAAUCAUUUUGUUGCCAUUUGUUUGCCUAAUCAUGCUGUAUGGUGAAACGACUAUAAAGCAGUAUUGACUUUCGAUGUAGGGUUCAAGUCAUCUAUAAUGAAUAAGAACAUAUAAUCAAGUUGUCUGAUAUUGUUUGUUUUGAAAUAGGUUUUGCUUUUGAAUUUGUAACUGCUGUUAUGAUUUUAUUUUCUGAUGUGAUUGUUCUCUUAAUUUUCAUUUUAGGAAGGAUUUUGAUGCUUUAAGAGAAGAAGAAGAAGAAGCUGCGGAUGUUGGUGAUUAUGACUCAAAUGUAGAAGAAAAGUAAGUAAUAAAUCAAAAUCUUGAAUUGGCAUUAGUUUUUCUUGCCAUAUGUUUGUAACCAGAUUCCAUGUAAUGAUUAUAACAGAUAUCCCAAGGGCUUACUUGUAGCAUUUACAUUAAAGAGCAUUUCAGCUGGGGACUCUCAAGAGCAAAAUGUUUCUGAUGAGCUCACAAAGGAGGGUGCUACCGGAAGUGAACAGAAGACUACAGAAAAUGACAAUGACAGCAAAGAAAAGAUUGAUGAUAAACAUAAAUCCACUGCAUCUGUCUAUAAAGAUGAUAUGAAUGUUGUUUUGCGUGAGGAUUUGAAGGAUGUCUUUCAAAAAUUCGGCACUGUAAAGGUAUUAUUGAAAUUGGUCUCCCUUUUCUUGAUCAUUUAAUUAUAGUUUUUUUUUUAAGUUUUUUUGGUCCAUACAAAUGAAUAACUAAAAACUAAAACAUAUUAACUAACAAUCUUUGCACUAGACAAUUGUUUCUUUUCAAUUAAUUCGAUAUUUCUUCUUUAUCAAGUACUUCUUCCCCAUGAUGCAUAUUCUUUUACAUGUGAAGUAUGUUGAUUUCAAAGUUGGAGAGGAUAAGGGUUACAUUCGGUUUGAUGCACCUGAAGCAGCCCAAAAAGCUCGUGCCGCUGCAGUGCUGGCUAAAGAAGGUGGCCUGGUUGUCAAAAAUUUCAUUGCUAAUUUAGAACCUGUAACUGGUAAGGAAGAAUCAACUUCCAUUUUAUUUCAUUUAAACCUUAUUUCUAAAUUUUUUGUUGCAUGUCGCCUAAUUUUUAUUCCUGUUAUUAGUGCAAGGUUUCAUUAAGAUGUUACCUUCAUAUCCUGUGGCAAUUGCUUGGUGGGUAUGGUUUGGAAAGCCACAUGGGUCACUAUGUUAUUUCAUUGUUGAUCUCCUGCCUUAUUGACUAAUUUUUAUCUCACAUAUAACGGGAAAGUAUGUAUUACAUGAGGAAGUGAUGGCUUUUAGGUCAAGAAAUCCUGAUGUAAUCGAUGACGAACUCAUAAAGAGUUGGUAAUGUUUUAGGUGAUGCUGAGAGGGAGUAUUGGAGUCUACUUCGUGGUAACCAAGAAAAGCACCGAGAAAACAAGCGCUUUCAAUCAAGGUCCGUGCCAAUCCUCUUCAACUGCUUUGUUCUUUCGUUUGGAUAAGCAAAUCACCUAGGAAAUUGCCCGUUUUAUGUUCCUGCUAAUUAAUUCGUCUGUUAAAUUUUUUUCUUUUGUCUAGGCUUCUUAGGGGAGGAAAGCACUACAAAGGUGGAAAACAUGCUCGAGGUAGAGAAAAUGAUUCUUCCAGAGGUCGUCCAAAUAAAGCUAAAAGAAGUGGAUCAGCGUGAGAGUGAUUUAUGGAUGUAAGAUGGGUUUCGAGAUCAUUUUUGUACCAUAGCUUAAGGUUCUUUCUGGCUUAAGUUAGCCGUAAGUUUUAUUUGCUUUAUAUAACACGUGGCAAUAUUUUUUUGUAGCUCGAAUGAUUUAAACCCUGCUAUUUUUACUUCCUUCAAAUUGGUCUUUUUUUUUCUUUUGUUUUCUCGCAAAUGCAAAUCGAGAGUGUUAAGAUGUAAAUUGAAGCAAAUUUACUACCAAUCACCUUUUAUUCCUUACCCUUCAAUCUUCAAUCACCUUUAAAAUUCUAUGGCUAUAAUUAUUUUCUUCAACUACCAAAAAGGACCAUGGAGCAUUGGCUCCUGUUUUUGCCUGUAUUUAUUAUUUUUAUUUUAAGGUUUCACCAGCCAGCAGUAGGGUGUAGCACUGUAGCUGGCUUGUUUUUGUUCUUCAAUGGCUUUUUUUUUUUUAAUCUUGGAAAUAAAAUAGUAGAUUUUGCUUUCAUUAAAUUCUAAAGUCUAAACAAAGUAAAUACACUGAUUCCUUGCUUAAUAUCUGCCUCACUUGCUUUAUCCUUUGCAAUGACAUCACAAAUAGUUACAGUGAAGAGGGAUGUUAUGAGAUGAAAGAAAGUUCCAAAAAGAUGUAAGAAAUAUGGAGACUUGAAAGUCCUUAGGAACGUUGAAUCAUUUUUUCUUUCUACCACAUAGAAAUCCUCUGAAUCUCCCAGGUUUCUUUGGUAUUAUUAACACAGGUUGAGAGAAGAGACAGAGAAAGAGAUGUUGGAAGGUAAAGCUGUGAUAGAAGACACAGACAUGCCCUUGAACAUGCAGGCUCAAGCCCUGUCUUCUGCUUCUCGUGCCCUUGAUCUCUAUGAAGUAUUUGACUGCAUUCCCAUCGCUGCCUAUAUUAAAAAGGUAAUCAAAGUCACUUCAAACCACUACCCCUUGUGCUAUUUGUUCACAGAACUUUCUUGGAUUAAUUUUUGUUUAGCACUACAGGAUUUUGACAAGACAUAUGGGCCUGGAUGGCAAUGCGUGGUGGGUACAAACUUCAGUUGUUUCUUCACCCAUUUCAAAGGAACUUUCAUCUAUUUCGCGUUGGAAACUCUCAACUUUCUCAUCUUCAAGGGGAGUUCUUCUAAUUCUACUUCUUCAUGAAGAUCUCGUCUUUACUUAAUUUCUCCCCUUUUUUCUGUUUUAUAAUAUUCAACUGGCUUUCCAUGUUCUUGAUGAGCUGGUUUGUUGGUGGAAGUGGAAACGAAUUAAGACAGUGAACGAAAGACAGUCCUUGUUCAGAUAGGAAGGUGGCAUCUUUGGAUUCUUCCAUUGUUGGAUGGUGAAUCAUUUAAUACUUUGAAGCUGCACGUCUGUCUAUUUUUGUUUGCUUAUUUAUUGCAUGAUAGUGUUAUUAUACCAUCAGUAUCUGGCAUUUUCUCACAAGUAGAAAUACUUGAAAGGCAAUUUCACCUUGCUACUAUAUUAGGGGCUAAAUUAAAAAAAAAAAUUAUAAGGAAAUCAAAUAUUACAUCUUUCGUUAUUGAUAAAUAUUGCAGCAUCUUUCAGUAUCUCCACUAUAAUCUCUUUUAUUAGCAAGUUCAAUUUGAUUAAUUACAAUUAUUAAGACACGUUGGUUAAUAAUAGGUGCUUAUAAGCAUUAAUGAUAUUUAAAAUCUUAUUUUAAAAACAAAAUUGCAUUUAAUACAUGGUUUUCAUCAAAUUUUAAAAAAAAAAUCAUUUCCAAUAAGGCCUUGAUUUAGUGAUAUAUAAAAGUUUUAGAACUUUGAAAUCUUAAAUUCAAGAUUUUAUCGUGUGUAAAUUUAAUUAUAUAAUUAUGUUUUAAUUUGUUAGUUGAUUAUUCAAAGAUAUAUUGUAUAUGAAUGUAAUAUUUUAUUGAUUGACAAAAAAAAAUACAUUUAAUAUUUUAUUCUUAAAAUGUUUUUCACAAAGAUCAAAUAUUGAUUGACCAAAAAAAAAAAAAAAACUUUCUCUUAUCAAGCAAAAAUCAUUUAUGAAAGCAUUUCACUUACCAUUUAUUUUAUUAUAAUAUUAUAAUUAUCUAAUCAUAAUAAAAAAUUAUUUAAGAGAUCCACCACUUAUAAGUAUAAGAUCCAUGUAAAAUUUUGAUAAAUCUCAUAUACUUUUAAAUUAGAAUUGAUUAAUUAUAUUAUAAUUAUUGUAAGUGAAAUCCUCCUAUCAUUUAUUGUAUUUUUUAAAGGAUAUGAGAGAUUAAAAUUUUAUUUUUGACUUGAAUCUAGAUCUUAACUUAAUUAAUUUAUAUAAUUAUUUUAUGACAUAAUAUCUAAAAAAUAAUUUUUUUUAUUUAUUUUCAUAUUGCAAUAUUUUUUCUUUCGAAAGACACGUUUAUUAACUUUGAUUUCCAAUAAUGGUAUUAUUCAACCUCGUGGACCUAAGAUAGUUAAUGCCUUUAUAAAUAUAUAACCCAUUAUGUACCAUGUGUGGAUGGUAGAUUAAGGACAUUUAAUUUUUUUUUUCUUGGCCGUGAAAGACAUUUAAAUUCUAACCAUUAACUCAUAACUUGAAAAUCAACAUAUAUCGUCCUUGAAAAUGUUUGAAUACCAAAUUUAAUAUUGUAUAGAAUCGUCGACCAACUAAUUUAAUUAUAUGGUUUUGAGUAAAUCAACAUCACAAAUUAAAAUUCAUACUAAAUAUAAUUAUUUUCUCUUUGAUUCUCAAGACAAGACACAUUUAAACCAACAGAAAUAGUUUUUAAAAAAAUUCUUUUAAGGUUGUUUCUUUCUCUUGAAAAAACUAAAACCAAAAUUAUAUUAAAGAAAAAAAUAAAAUUAUCCAUAAAAAGAUUUAACAUAUAAUAAUACAUAAAAAAAUAUAAUAAAAGAUUGUUAUAUAAGAGUUUAAAUUUAUUAAAAUUACCACGAUUUUAUUCUCAAAAGACAAAAAAGAUUAUCAUAAAUUUUUAGCCAAAAAAAUUAUCAAAAUUUUAAUUAAUAUGUUUUAUUUCUAAAAAAAAAGAAAAAAGAAAAGCCGUUGGGAAUUUGAAAAAAUGCCUAAUCGUACCAUGCAUGGACGGCGAGGAUUCCAACGUGGACGAAUCGGGGCCAUCAAAUACAAAACAUGUUCGAUCUUUAACCAUAGGUUUUGAAACUCCAUUAGUCCGCCCCUUUAUGUUUGAAUAUCUCUCCGGACCGUUUCAUUUUCUCUCUCGCUUUGCUUUCUUCUUAUCUCCUCUUCUUUUAUAAUCUUCGCGGUGCAUUUGCAGAUCUCUAUCUUAAAUUUCUUUCCCUAUCUUCUUGGAUCUGCAAAUGCGCAUCGUUUCUAAUUCCUCUUUCCUUCGGGUCUCCAUUUCUCGGUUUUCGAAGCUCAGUUCGGUGAGUGCUUGCUUUUUCUGUUCUUUUAGUUUUUUUUUUUGUCCGUCUUAUGAAUUUGAAAUUUCUUCCUUCGAUCUUGAUGACUAAGUUAAAUACUGAACAAUUUGCUUUAAUAACUAUUGGUUCUUUCAGUGUUGAAAAUUGAAUGAAUUUGAGUUUUGAUCAUGAUCUAGGGUUUGAAUUUGAGAGAAUUGCUUAUAAAUUUCAAUUACUGGAUCUUUUUUAUUAAAUUUUAAUUCAAAAUUUCAAAUCGUUGACUUGUGACUUUUUAAUUACUAUAAAAUUACUUCGAUUUUUUUUAAAAACUUUUUCUGUUAGUUUGUUCUGCGGAUUCGUGGGGAGGAACUUUCUAGUUAGGUUGAUUUAUAAUGAUCUGGAGAGCAUAUUGCGGAGAGAAGUGUUGUCGAGUUGGAAUUGGGGUAUGCGGCUUUAUUCAUCUGCAAAGGAACUAUGGAAGGUGACAGAACAGUAUCGACUCCUUCGGUUGGGCUCAGCAUCAGCGAUGGUGCUCAAAGAAUGCGAGCUCUUCAUGGGUAUUUUUCUUUUAAAACCUUAGUGAUUGUUAAUUUUGGUGCCUCUUAGUUGAAAAUUUUAGAACCAUUAUUCUUGUUCUUGGAUGUUCUCAUCCCCCCUGUACAACGUUCUUUUUUCUCUUACUAGGUAUGUUAACUUACAAGAAAUUAUUAUUUUAUGUACUGCUGAGUUUUGCUUACUUUGGAAUCCUUAUUGUAGAAGGACUAGUGGUCCUACAAGACGUUCCACGAAAGGGCAAUGGACAGCUGAAGAGGUAUAUUUCUUUCCCUUGUUUAUGGUUGCUUUCUUGUAUUUUAAGACAAUUCUUUUCUAUAACUUUAUUGUUCUUAUGUCAUGUAUUAUUGUGUCCAGUAAUUUUAGUCCCUCCUUCAAUACGAUUAUUAUUUGUGGCCCUAUAUAUGUGUGGGUUCAUUGAUCAAUUUGACAACAUAAUUAUAUGGGUUUGCAGGAUGAGAUUCUGUGCAAAGCUGUUCAACGUUUCAAAGGAAAAAAUUGGAAAAAGAUAGGUAUGAUCUUCAAAUUGAAAUGGCAUAAUAGCUCUUCGUGCAUCAUUUCACAUGAUCUAAUUGUAAGCUGGUUCAUCUGCAGCGGAGUGUUUCAAGGAUCGGACUGAUGUACAGUGCCUACAUAGGUGGCAAAAGGUCUUGAAUCCUGAACUUGUUAAAGGGCCAUGGUCCAAAGAGGUGAUUGUUUUUGCUGCUUAUUUUUUUCUCACUAUUCCUUAAAUUUGAUUGUUCUUGACAAAAAAAAAAAAAAUCUUUUUCUUGAUAAUUAAUGGCAUUCUGAGUUGCUUUUGUUGAAAUUUAAACAGGAGGAUGAACUAAUAAUUGAGUUGGUGAACGAAUUUGGGCCGAAAAAGUGGUCAACCAUUGCUCAGCACUUACCUGGACGCAUUGGGAAGCAAUGCAGAGAAAGGUGUAAUGCUAGAGCUGUUAAUUUUAAUAUUGUAAACCCACUUAUAUUUGAAAUUUUGGAAAAGGCCAGUGAGAGAGGGGGAGUUUGAACCUUGGAAUGCGAUCAUUCUUAUGAUGGGUACAAGAGCAGGGCUAAGCCUGGUCGCAUUGGUUUAAUGCUGUUGAAUUUUAACAGUUUGUGAGAGGUUUUCCUUCUGGAAUGUUAUUGCAAAUAUCUUCUCUUGGAUUUUAUGAAAGUAUUUAGCUGUUAUAAUGCUCCCUUCCUCCCCACUCCCCCCCCCCAAAAAAAGUAUAAGAUAUAAAAACUUGUUCUUGUUUUACAUUUGUACUCAUACAACUUAGUACUAAUAUAGGUGGCAUAAUCAUCUCAAUCCUGCCAUAAACAAAGAGGCAUGGACUCAGGAAGAAGAGUUGGCUCUGAUUCGUGCUCAUCAGAUUUUUGGAAACAAAUGGGCAGAGCUCACAAAGUUCUUGCCAGGAAGGUAUGUCGACUUAUUAUUUAGAGAGGCCACACCUUUCCAUCAAUUUUGUAUUGAGGUUACCUAUAUUUGUCUCUUAUUCUUUUACUUCCUACUGUAACUGCCAGUCAUCCUCUGAUAUUUGUCUAAACUCUAAUGUUCUGUUAAAUAGAAGCUAAUAUAUUUUUUGCAUUUGAACUUACCAUUUACUUGCUGUAUUUCCAUCUUGGUCUGAGCAACAGGACAGACAAUGCAAUAAAGAAUCACUGGAAUAGUUCAGUCAAAAAGAAAUUGGACUCUUACAUAGCAUCAGGCCUCCUAGAACAAUUUCAAUUCCCACUUCUAAAAAAUCUAAGCCAGCCUGUGCCUUCAUCUUCUUCGAGGAUGCAGAGCAAUGUUGAUGAUAGUGGUGCCAAAUGUAGGACAGAAGUAGAGGACUUGUCAGAAUGCAGCCAAGAGUCAACUAUGGUUGGCUGCUCUCAAUCUGGUGGUGAUUUGACUAAUGCUGCUGUACAUACAAGAGACCAAUUCCACUUGGCUGAAAUGCCUGGUGUGGCAAAAGAGAAGAAUUCAAGUCCAGCGCCUUGUUCAGAAGAGUAUUAUCCAUCUUUCGAAGACCUCAGCUUCUCCAUUCCAGAAAUACCUUGUGAAGCAGGGUAUUCUGCAAGUGGGGAUUACCAGUUUGGUUUAACGGAUCUACCUAAUAUUUCUUCUCUGGAAUUGGGGCAAGAAUCAUCAGGGUUGCCAACUUACUGUCUAGACACUAGCGAAAGCCAUGAAGUGAUGAAUGCUGCAUUUCAAACUUCUGUAGGAUUAAAUGCUCCUACAUCUUUUGUAAAUAUGGUUAUAACUUCUGACAAACCAGAGCAUAUGUUGAUCACUGAUGAUGAAUGUUGCAGGGUCCUAUUCUCAGAGGCAGUGAAUGAUGGAUGCUUUGCCUCUGAAAAUUUCACACAAGGAUCUAAUGUGAUUGAAUUGGUUGGCUGCAAAAAUAUGUCACUUUCUCAGGCUUCAGACAUCCAAAUAUCUGAAACUGGAAAAACUGCAGCCUCACAAUCUAAUUGUCCUCCAAGGUCUGAAGCAUUGCCAACCUCUUGCUGUCAAUCUUUUCUGUCUCCUUCACUUCUUUCAAUUGAGGAUGGUAAACAUAUGUAUGGCAGAGAGCCCAGUCAGUUAACUGGUAAACCUAUUGAAACUCAGGAGCAAGAAUUUACUAAGAAUGCACACGAUGGCUUUAUCUACACUAAUGAUGACCAUACAGAUAAUAAAGACCUGCAAGAGGAAUCUUACCUUGAAAAGGAUUCUGUGAAAUUGGUUCCAGUGAAUAAUUUUGGUUUGGAAUCAAAUGCAGUGCAAACUUGUCCUACUGUGGAUGAUAAGCCAAACUUGCCUUCAGUACAAGAUGUUGGAGGUCUAUGUUAUGGGCCUCCUCGAUUUCCUAGCUUGGAUAUGCCAUUUUUCAGCUGCGAUCUUAUACCGUUUGGCAGUGAUAUGCAGCAAGAAUAUAGUCCUCUUGGUAUUCGCCAGCUGAUGAUGUCUUCUAUGAACUGCAUAACUCCAUUUAGGUUGUGGGAUUCACCAUCACGAGAUGAUAGUCCUGAUGCUGUACUGAAAAGUGCUGCCAAAACUUUUACUGGUACACCAUCCAUUUUGAAGAAACGCCACCGUGACCUAUUGUCACCUUUAUCAGAAAGAAGAAGUGACAAAAAGCUGGAAACUGACAUGACAUCCAGUUUGACCGAAGAUUUCUCUCGCUUGGAUGUUAUGUUCAAUGAGACUGGGACUGGCAACAUAUCUCAGGUGUCUCCAGCUGAACAUAAAACCAACUCUGGUGUCUCUGUUGAAGAAAAAGAAAAUCUGUAUCAAGCAUUUGAUCGGGAACAAGAAAAUGGGGGAGAUCACACUGAAUCAUUAGAUGAUGAAGCUCAGAAGAAAGAUUCUAAUGGAACUAAUUCCCAAAGAAACAUGAAAAUGGAAACCUGCAAUAGUGAUUCCAAGGACAAAGCUGAGGCUGAUGCUUCUGACAAAAUUGUGAGUUUUUUUUUUUUUUUUUUUUUUCUAUUUAUUAAUUUUUAUGUUAGUUUUCUAGCUUAAGGUGCAGCUGUCUGAUUAAAUCCCCGUCAAUUUUUUUGGUCCUAUUUUCUUUAAUGAUAAUUCAAACUAGUGUUGGAAUAUUAUUUUCUUUAAUGAUAAUUCAAACUAGUGUUGGAAUAUUGAGGGAUCUGGAGCCAUACACUAAUAGUGAUUGUUUAUUUAACUCAGAUAUGAUGCUUAAUAAUUCUAUGUACACCUUGUACUGUUUUCUCUUAUGGUCUUAUGUUGGAAAUCUUGGUCUUAAUUCUUCUUUCUUUAUUACUGUAUAUUCCUUUUUGCAUGUACCAUUGAAUUGAUUUAUUUUUUACUAAUCUUUCCCUCUCUACUUUUGACAGGUCCAACAGCAUUCAACGGUGCUUGUUGAGCGUAAUUUAAAUGAUCUACUAUUGUUUUCUCCCGAUCAUGUUGGUCUUAUAGCAGACAGACCAUUAUUGUCUUCAACCAUAGGAACUCCAAUAAAUCAGUAUCAUAAAAGCUUUGGAGCUAUAUCAAAUCGGGGUUUUGCUUCUGAAUGCUUAUCAGGAAAUGCAUGCAUAGUUGUUAGCUCUCCUACUCUGAAAAUAAAGAACGGUGAAGGGCACUCAAUUGCUGUUUCUACAGUACAAUGUACCAAUUCAUCAGCAACCCUAGAGAAUUUGGUUGAUAAUGCUGGGACUAAUGCUGGUAUUGAAAAUUAUAACAUGUAAGAUUCCAAUGCUUAUUUUGUUAUAGUCAAGAGCUGCUUUUCAUUUUUCAUUUUUAUUUUUGUUUUCUACUUCGCAUGCUAGGAUAAAUUGAUUGGUUGCUUACAAGUUGCUUCCUUGAUGUGGAUUUUGCCAGAUUUGGGGGAACUCCUUUCAGGAGAAGUAUUGAAUCCCCGUCAGCAUGGAAGUCUCCUUGGUUUAUCAACUCUUUUGUUCCAGGCCCAAGGAAUGACACAGAAAUAACAAUUGAGGUAUAAUUGGAAUUUAAAACUUCAGGUAGAUUUUUUAACUUUUUUUUGUUUGUUUAUGCUUCAUAAUAAUUGGAAUUUUGUUUCCAGGACAUCGGAUAUCUUAUGAGCCCUGCGGAUAGAAGCUAUGAUGCCAUCGGGUUGAUGAAGCAAUUAAAUGAGCAUACUGCGGCUGCUUAUGCUGAUGCAUUGGAGGUUUUGGGAGAUGAAACACCGGAAUCAAUUGUAAAGGGAAGACGCUCCAACAAUCCUAAAAUGGAGAAAGAGAAUAAUCAAUUGGAGGUCCAAUCGCAUUUGGCUUCAAAUAUCUUGGUAUGACAGAAAAACCAUGCUCAACAUCCUCUUCCUUUGUUAUUAUAGAGUAAUUAGUUGAAAAUUUUGAAUGCAAUAAUUAUUUGCAGGCAGAGCGCCGCAUCCUUGAUUUUAGUGAAUGUGGAACACCUGGAAAGGGAACUGAAAAUAGCAAGUCCUCAACUGCCAUAAGCAUCUCAAGCCCCUCUUCCUAUCUUUUGAAAGGUUGCAGAUAGUGUUUUCUUUUGGCUAAAAGCCUCCCUUGUUUGUAAUUUAUAUGUUUUUAUUUUAUUUUAUUAUUAUUAUCUUCAAAAUUCUUCAAUUUGUUAAUUAAUUGGUAAAAAUCGUUCUAUUGCAUAAAGAUUCUCCAGCUCUCCUUGUGUUUUUGUGUCGGUGUUUUGUUACAGUGGUGGAAUUCUGCGUCCUGGUCUGGUCCUGUUGUUAAAUCAUGAUCCUUCUCCAAGAAUACUUCGAAACUGCGGGCAUCAACGAGAAUAUAGUUUAUCCUUGCAUUUUAAGUUAUACUUUCAUAAAUGGUUUUACAUAACAAGGAGUAUUUGGUUUUUAAUAGAGUUAAUUGACUUAAAUUGAUUUAAUUGGAUUAAUUAAUAGUUUAUUAAAUUAAUUUCGAUGAAUUAUUUAAAAUAAUUUAAUAAAAAUUUUGAUUUUAUUUAAAUUAAUUAAAGUUUUAUUGAAAUAUAAUAAAUUUUAAAUAUAAAAUUAAAAAUAUAUAAAAUCCAUCAUUUUAUCUUAAUAUGUUGAUGUUUGAAUUUUUUUUUGUUAGAUGAUUUUUAUUUAAUUUGAUUUAAAUAUGAAAAAUUAAAUAUAUUUUACUAUUUGAUUAAUUCAAAAAUUAACCGGAUUAAAUGUGAUGGGUUAACUUUUUAAAAUUAAUGAAUUUAAUUUGGCUAAGUUAAAUAAAAAGAUUAAUAUUCCGAAUAAUUUUAAAAUUAUAAUAAAAUAUUUAAUAUUACACUUGAAUUUUAAAAAUUAUAAAAUAUCUGAAUUAUGAAUAUGUUAAUUAAUAAACAUGAGCAAGGUUGACAGCAAUUAUGAGAAUGAAAAAAGCUGUAAAGACCUGGAUUUUGUAUUUGAAAUCUACUUUUAUUUCAAAAUAUACAUAGAACCACUUGUUUAUAUAAUAAUGACUCAGCCAUUGAAAGGUUGAUUUAUUACCUUUUUUCUCUUUUGGUGGGUAGAUAACUUGUUCAAUCUCCUAAGCAAUUGAAGUGAGUGUUUGAGGGCUACAAUUAUUAAUGGAGGAUAACAGAAAAGUGAAAAACAUUGCUGCGAUUCACAACAAAGGUGGUUUUACUCAUAAAAGUUGAUACUUGCUGUGCCCAAUUUCUACGACAUUCCAGUAACGGCAGCAUGAAUUGCAUCAGCAAGAUGAGGGACAGUCUUAGAGCUCAGACCUGCCAUGCUAAUCCUCCUGUGCACAAGAGAAAAAUAUGUAAAAAUUACUUGGAGUCAGCAACAUGCAAACUCUUUGACAAAAAUGAGAUAUGGGCCAAUUUGUGAAGGAAAUAUAAGAAUCAUAAUCCAGCAAAACUAAAAACCCCAAUUUCAAUACUUGGUUUUUACAGACUACAGUAAUUGAGCUUCUUACCCAUCAGAAGUCAUGUAAAUGUGGUAUUCUCUUGUCAUAAAGGCUACUUGCUCUGAAUUCAGUCCGGUGAACGUAAACAUUCCAAUUUGUUUGAUAAUAUGACUCCAGUCACCGGGUGUUCCUGUCAAAUGGAAAAAAAAAAAAAAAAUGUCAUAAAACAACAUAUACACAAGGAUGAACCUUUAUUAAAAGUAGCUCCUGAAGGUUAUUCGAAGUUUACUUAUUUCUUUUAUGUAAACAACAAGCAUGCCUUAAAGUUGAAUGACCACUAGCUCAUUGUUGUAAAUAUAGCAGCAGAAAAGCAAAUGAAAACACACAAGAACUAGCAAUAAGUUGAAUGACCUCUAGCACGCAAAGCAUCAAAAAGUUUCUGCCUCAUGCUGAUGAUACGGUCGGCCAUUGCCUUCAACUCAAUAGUCCAUUCAUUGUACAUGUUUCUGUUGGUGAAAAGAAAAAAAAAAUAUUUAAGGACAGCCAUUAGGAGCAUGAAAUCCAUAAAAAGAAAGAAAACACUAAAGCAGGGUAGGUGAUUGGAAUCUGGAAAAUCCAUUUAACAAUAGCCUACAAUUGGUUGCUUAAAUUUGAUGCAUACACAAAAAACAAUAUAGAGUUUGUGCAAACUGAAUGAUGCAGCAACAGCCAUGUAGACAACCACUGGUGAUGGGUGCAUACCUGUCCUUCAGGAUGGUAGCCACAAUAGAUGCACCAUGAAUUGGUGGAUUUGAAAACAUGGGCCGAAUAACAAGUUUCAGCUGGCUCUCAACCUUGCUUGCUACAUCAGCUGUCUUGCAGACCUAUUAACAACGUAAUUUGUGAUAAACAAUCAGAAUACCUUCUGCAGGUCCACAAAUAACAAGGCAGAGAAAGAUAAACGACUUGAUAUACCAAUUCACAAAUAUGGUGACCAAAAAUCUUGAUAACACACUACUUAUACAACAAGAAUAAAAAAAGCCACUAUAAAUUAAAAGAUUGCAAUUUAGUGAAUGCUAGCCAUUAAUCUUAGAGUCUUACAACGCUUAGUGCACCGACACGUUCCCCAUAAAGGCCCAUGUUCUUUGCAUAACUCUGAGCUACAAAGCAUUCGCCACCAUCAGCGACAAACAUACGAACUGACAUCGCAUCUGCAUCCAGACUUCCACUAGCAAAACCCUAUAAUAACAAGUCACGAUUUAAUCCUCUUUAAAAUGGUAAUAAUAGUAGUAUCAAAUAACUUCAUUCAAUCCUCAUCAAUGAAAUGUUUCUAACUUUUUAAGUUUCUUAAUAUGCAAAAGUAAUAUAUACAAUGUUGCAUUCAGUUUCUACCUACCUGAUAAGCACUAUCAAAGAAAGGUAACAAUGCCUUUGAUCUCAUCAACUGCCUAAUUUGCUCCCACUGCUCAAGGGUGGGAUCAACACCAGUGGGAUUAUGAGCACAGGCAUGAAGAAGCACAAUAGAUCCAGAUGGGGCAGAACCAAGGUCCUCUAAUAACCCUGUUAGCCACAAGAAAUGAAUAUCAUAAAGUCAAGAAAAUAACAAAGUACAACUAAAUCUAACUGAUCCUUAUCAGACGCCAAAAAAGGAAAAACCAAAAGCAAGCUAUGCAUAAUUAAAUGUGAAGAACAAUGAUCUCAGCAACUUCUACACUUCUACAACAAUGAUAGAAAUUACAAAACUUUUAUCCAAGUAGUUGAUAAUAAUUGAUAAAGAACACUUAUAAGAUUGAAAUAUAGUAUUGUGAUAUAAACAAUUUACACAUCUGUACUAGUUUUCAUACCCUGGAAAUUCAAUCCACGUGUUGCUGGAUCAUAAUAGCGGUAAGUUUUCACAGAUAAUCCUGACAGAGUGAAAAUCUUGGGGUGGUUUCCCCAUGUUGGCUGUGGAAUGUAUAUAGAACGCUGCAAAACAAAACCAAGAAGUACAGUCGAAAAUGAAAUUGAAUUACAACUAUUAAAUUAGCCAAGGAUAAUGACAACAUACAGUAAAAUUAACAAGAAGUUUACUUGAUGAUAAUGCCUAGCCAAAAAUUCAGCUCCAACUCUCAGUGAACCGGUUCCGGACAAACACUGAACUGUAGUAACCCUAUUCUCUCGAAUAGCAGGGCUACAUUCAAACCCCAAAAAGAGAAAGGAAUUAUAUAAUAAAAAGAAUAAAAUUAACGCAAACUUUGAUAACAUUAGAUAUCCAAUUAACAAACCUGUCAGCACCAAAAAUAAGCUUAGCACUUAAUUUAUUAAAUUCUGCCAAUCCGACAAUGGGAAGAUAUUCCUUGACACGUGACCUGUCGUUGACCAACAUUUGCUCUGCUUUUCUUACCACAUUAAGAACAAGAGGCUUCCCUUCCUGUUACCAAAAUAAAAGAUUCAAUUUUUCAAAACCAAAAAAAAAAAGUAAGAAAAGUCGAAUCUUUCUGUAAAAGAAAAGAAAAUUACCUCGGUUCGAUAAGCACCAACUCCUAAAUUCAACUUGACGGGGCUGGGAUCUUUGUUAUAUGCAACGGUCACCUAAUGAGCCAACGGGAGGGAUUAACUAAUUGUGACGACUUAAAUCUUAAUAAUUUUGAUUAUAAUUGAAAAAAUAGGAAAUGAUGGAACUGAUUAGCAUACUCCGAGAAUGGGAUCUUCAGGGGCGCGAACGACGUGAGAGAAAACAGAGUCGCCGUGAAAACCAGAGGUGGGAGAAAAUGUUACGGUGGUCUGAGAGUCCAUCACUGGUGAUGAGGUUGCAAGGUGUCUGACCAGAACGCUUAACCGUCGAUCGGUCGGCGAAGAAGAUGAUGACGUAAACUCGGGGCGGCGCAUGUUAGCUUGUUGAUACGUUUGAACGCUUAGUUUAGGCUUUUUUUUUUUUAUUGGUUAUGUGUAGAUUUUGAUAUUGCUUAGUUGCGGAAACCGAGAGUUGCGAUUUUGUUUUUAUAAGGAAAGAAAGAACGAAAACGAAAAGUUUACGCGGCGAGUGAUGGUCGCUGUAUGAUUGAAGGGGGUCCACUUUUUCUUUUUCUAUCUUAUUAUUGUUUUAAUUUUAAGACAAAUAUAAUUGCAAAUUGUUGUCGUUUAGCAUAAUCUUUUGGAUUAUUCUAAUUUCUAUACAAUCAAUUUUAAUUUUUAAUGUAAUAUUAGAUUUUAAAAAGCAAAUAUUUUACUUAAAAAAAUUUUUUACAAAAAAAUCCAAAGAAAGAAAACACAGAACAGAAGCAGUUAAUAAUGCCACGUGGCUAUGGCUAGAAAGAUAAAGUCGGGUUUGGCAUGUUUGUCAAGCUUGAAGUAAUGUUCCACGUGGCUAUACGUUAGUAAGAUAAAGUUGGGUAUGGCACGUUUGUCAAGGUUGGAGUAACGUUCCACCCUUUUGGUUCAAUCUGAUAUUAAAUUAUUCAUCAAUUGCUAAGGGUUGAUUUAAAAUGUAAAAUUAAAAAAUAAUAGUAAUAAUAAUAAAAGAAAAUAGGGGUAAAAUGACAACCUGAAGAUAAAUGUGUCACGACUUUUCUUAUUGUAUGCAACACGUGUCCAACUUUGUUUCUUGAGGAAAGUGGGGUAAACGAAAACCAUUUCUUUUUGUUUGAUCCAUAGACAGAAUAAAAAUUCAUCGAAAUGGGAAAUUUUCACAAAUACAAAAUUCAUUCAUUUAAUAAAUUGGAAAAAAACACUAGACAAAAAAAAAAAAACCCAAAGGUUGGGUAACUUAAAAACAAUUGUUAUGUCAUUAUGUAGGCUAGGCUACUGUCCAAUUAUUCAGAUGGAAGAGAGCUCAGACAAAAAAAUGGCAGAUUAGGUUUUAGAUGGUACGGGUAACUACAUUAUGUAUUGCAUCUGCAAGAUAUGGAACCGCCUUUGAACUUAGACCUCCUAUGUUAAUCCUCCUGCAAGUUCAAAUUCAACAAAGUUUUGUUUACCAGAGGUAGCUGAUGAUUGAUUAAGAUUUUUAUCUAAGAUGGUUUGAGCCUGACAUUGACUGAAGCAGGACAAACAAGAACUACAUUUGCAUAUAACUGAAAGAGAAGAAGGAGAACAUAGAGCUGUAAACAGUAAAGGAGUAGAUGAAAAUUUUUACCCAUCAGAUGACAUGUAGAUGUGGUAUUCUUUAGUCAGAAAGUCGAUUUGCUCCUCAGUCAAUCCAGUGAAAGUAUACAUUCCGACUUGCCUGAUAAUAUGGCUCCAGUCACCUGGAGUCCCUGCCAAGAAAAGAAAAGGAUAUCCACAGACAUGCAAUGUUCAGCAAAAUCUCGGCAGCUUCUCCCUAGUUUUUUAGAGUUGAAUGAUCAAAAAGCAACUCAUCCUACUUUCUGUUUUCUACAAUUGAGUUUUCAGAAGAAUUUGUUAUGCAAAUCAAACAGUCAACAUAUACAGGUAAAGAAUUGACAAACUAUAAAGGUUUACCUCUGCUGCAUAAAGCACUGUAGAGUUGCUGGCGUACUUUGGCAAGACGAUCACUCAUUGCCUUCAAUUCAGUGGUCCAUUCAUUGUACAAAUCCCUUCAGUAAGAAUUAACAAAUUUAAAAAAGGCAUAGUUUAGAGGAUGGAUUCCAUGUCAGAUUAAUCAUUUCUAACACACAGCAUUUAUUCAUAUUGCCACUAGAAAACGAAUCCAAGCUCAUUUACAUUCUCAGAUACGCCUUAACUCUAUAGUGUUAUUUCAGAAAUACUCAAUUGGAUGUGUUUCUACUGUUUGUUUUUGUUUUUUUGUUUUUUGUUUCUGUGUUUUUUUUUUUUUACAUUUCCAAGGUGAAAAGACUUGAUUACCCAGAAAACUUUUACUUCUUGAGCUUUUAAGGAUUGCUAGCAUCCAACAAUUUCUUAUCUUCUUAUAUGAAACAACAAUUCAUAACUUUAGAAUACCAUUUCAACAUUCACAAGGCAGAUACCGAGUAACUAAAAGUCUACAACUCAAUAAUGUAUUACCUAUCCUUCAGAAUUGCAGUAACAAUGGCUGCACCGUGAAUGGGUGGGUUUGAAUAAAAGGGUCUGAUCACAAGUUUGAGAUGGCUCUCAACCCGCCUUGCCACAUCAGCUGUCUUGCAAACCUAAACCCAAAUUAUGAUAACCAUAUUAGUGACAAAUAUGCAGAUAGUUUGAACAAUCUUGCUCUUAUAUAAGACAUGUGAUUCUUGGGAAAAGGAAAAAUAAUGUGAACAUGUGCAUGGUGACACAUGGAGAUAGAUAUUAAUGGUAAGGAGAUUUAUCAUAGUAUCUUACAAUGCUAAGCGAACCAAUGCGUUCCCCGUAUAGGCCCAUAGUUUUUGAAUAUGAUUGAGCUACAAGGCAUUCACCACUAUCACAAACAAACAUGCGAAUGGACUGUGCAUCCGCAUCUAGACUUCCACUUACCAGACCCUACAAGCAGUCCAUCCAUCAUUAAAUGAGGUUCAAGUAAAAACCUAAAGCAAUUAAUAAUUCAUAGUUUCUUACCUGAUAAGCACAGUCAAAAAAAGGCAAUAGACCUCUCAGUCUCACUAACUGCCUGAUCUGUUCCCACUGUUGACGAGUUGGAUCAACACCAGUUGGAUUAUGACCACUUGCUUGGAAAAGCACAAUGGCUCCAGUUGAGGCAGUGCCAAGAUCUUCCAAAAGCCCUAUCACCACCAACAUGAAUUAUCUAAAUCCAUGAGAACAAUGAAGAUAAUAAUUUUCAGUGCAAAGUACUUUGGAAGGGGAAUGUUGUAACCAUAUUGGAAUAAAUUGUUGCUCAGUAAAACAUAAUUGACAGUAGAAUCAAAUUAGGUAUAUCCUUCCUAGAAUAUCCAAAUUUAGAUACAUAAUCCGCUUAAAAUGAUAUACAGAAAUGGUGGCCCAAAUAGAAUUGCACUGUGCCAGAUGAAACUGGAAAUUGUUCCAAAUGAAGUAGACCUUGAAAGUCUAGUCCAUGUGUUUUUGGAUCAUAAUACCGAUAAGUCUUCAAAGAUAGCCCCGCUGCAGAUAACAAAUUUGGAUGAUUUCCAUAUGUUGGCUCAGGAAGGUAAACAACAUGCUGCAGAACAAGGUGGAACGUAAGGUUAAACAGUCCAAUCAUAAGGCAUAAAGGAACAAGAAGGAAGUCAUUUACAUGGCCAUCAUGUUUUGCUAAAAGUUCAGCUCCAACCCUCAGUGAGCCACAACCAGAUACGCACUGGACAGUAGUCACUCUAUUUUCCUUGAUGGCAGGGCUUUUCCAAAGCAAUGAUAUAAGCAGCCAGCAACAGAAAAACAGCUUCAGCUAAAAUCAGAAUCUAAAGAAGCCGGAAAAAAAUUUCAUGAAAUAACCUAAAAGCAACAGGGAUUGAUAUACUAUUUUAAGAUUGAAUAUAUAAACUCCAACCUUGCUGAAUGAUACACAACCUUCCAGUCUGUGUUUUAAAUUUUUAAAAUUUCUUUCUUUCUGAUUCAGAAGGGAAACCUGAUCUAAUAAAUUUUAAACCAGUAUAGUAUUUUUGUACCUGCCAAAGCCAAAUAUGAGUUCAGCACUUAAUUUAUUAAAUUCUGCCAUUCCUGUUAUAGGAAGAUAAUCCUUAUCAGCAAACCUAAGCAUCAGAUAAAUUAGAGUUUAGUCACAACCCAAGGAAAGUUAUGAUGGCAAAAAUAAUAACAAAAUACCUACAGGUCGUUAGCUAGCAUUUGCUCCACUUUUCUAACAACAUCCAAUGCAUGGCAUUUUCCCUCCUGUCAUCCCAUGAACAAAGCCCAUCCAGAAAAUUGUUCCAAAUCAAAGAAAAGCAAGCAAUCUAAGGAAAUGCUCAUGAAAGUUACUUUCUAAUAUUUAUCCAUAAUUAUAGCAGUUAGUGACAUGCCAUCAACAGCCUAAUGCAACUGAAUGCUAAGGAAGGUUUUUAUAUUUGACUAAAUACAAUACCUGAAAGAACCAGUCUUACAUCAAUAUCAUGGCUUCAUUUUACUGGUAAGAAGCUGGUCGCAGGAAUGAUCAUAUUGAAGUGCAAAAACUAACCCAUAAUAGAAAAGCACAUUCUUUGAUGGCAUGCCGAAAUCUUGAAAUGCAUAGAUAAAUAAACAUUUGGAUGAAGGUAACCCUAUAUCAUAUAAGUAUUCAAUCCCCACUUGUCAUGGUCAAAGUGGGUGAGAAAUAUCAAUAAAAUUGGCAAAAAGUAACAAAUGCUUACCUCUGUUCGAUAAACACCAAUCCCCAAGUGUAGCUUAUUCGGGCUGGGGUCCUUGUUGUAAGCAACUGUUGUCUUUUUUCAUACAGAUAGCAUUAAAAGGAAAAGAACAUCUUAAUUCUUGAAGCAACAAACAAAAGAAAGAAAGGGAAGUAAAAAAGAAAAAGGCAAGAUACAAUGUUAACUAUUAACUUAUUAAAACAUUUGUAUUACUGGACAAUGCACAGAAAUGCUAGAGCACUUGGCUUCCCAUCAUUUUAGUAAAACCAAUCUAAAAUUAUGGCUCAUUUAUUUCAAAAUUUUCACAUCCACUUGACUUGUUUUUUAACCCCUAUCAUGACAUUUUCUAUACCAGAUCACAAUCAGGGUCUAUGACAGUUUCAAGCCUAAAGAGACAGGUUUCGACCUUUCAAAUGGAACAUGGCCACACUUAAGAACCAAUUUUGAUAUAAAAUAAUCGAAGUAGAUAAACGAAGACAGAUUAAGGACAAUUUUGGAGCACAACAAUCAAAACCCAGUUGAAGUAUUGAAACGAUCUUUAUUUAAUCAGGUUGCACUUUUCAGUUCCUAAUCAAGUACUUGCUGUCAGGGCAAAGUACUAAAAGGCAGUGAAUGAACUCAAACUUUUGACAUUGAACACAGAACAGCAGAGUAUUGGCUUCACAAUCCAUAGACUAAAACAAGUAGUAAGAAUUUGGUAGAAUUUUACUUGGGAAAGCAUAAAAAGAAAGUACCGCGUAGACUGGAAUAUCAGGAGCUCGAGGAACGUUAUGAAACAGAGAAUCGCCAUCUGCGUCGUUUCUGGUCGCCUCCCUAGGCUUUAGAUACUCCAUGAAUCAGUGGUGAAGAUAAGCUGUCGCAACGAGUCUUGUCUUUAUGUGCUUCUUACUUUGAAAUUUCAAGUGGGUCACGCUUAACCUUUUCCAUUUUGUACAUGGGGUCACCCUUAACCAAAACUGGUUAGUCAGAUAAAAGAUUAAAACGAAAAUCCCAUCUACUGUAAUUUCUGAACUGACACAUGUCAUUUCGGAUGUUUAUCAAAUUCAAUGCAAAAUUUAGAUUUUUUUUUUGUUUAUCAAGCAGACCUAAUAUUUUUUAUCUUCAUUAAGACCAAUCUUUUCACCACCGUCGACCACGGCCAGUUUACAAUCAGAUAAAAGAUCAAGAUUUCAGUUGAUUCUUCUUUUAACGUUAAGUCAGCACAAGGUUUAAAAAAUUUUUGACAUUUAUCGUAUAAAUUUAUAUGCAAUACAUUAUCUAUCAUUAUAUAAUUGCUGUAAAAUACAUCACACGAUAACAACUCCUAAAAUAUUUAAUUUAAGAAUUUUAAAAAAUUAAUUUUUUAUAACAAUAUUUUACACUAACCGUAUAUAAUUUUAGGCAUGAAUGAUAAGACCUUUCGAAAAAGUAACAAUUAAGGAAAAGGUGAAAGACCAAUUUGAAUUCCUUCGUACAUAUUCAAGAAUUUUGAAGUUGCUUUUGCUGAAACUGGCUUUAGAAAUAGGCAGGGCCACUAAUCCCCUAAUCCAAAUUGGAAUUCUGAAUGUUUUCCAAAUAAACUAUAACCCAUUUUAAACGUCUACUUUCUACGAAACUAGUAAGAAGUGUAAAUCACAAACUGCCAUUCGUUUUGCAUGGUUGAACUUGAAUGUUCCAUUGAUUGAUUUCCUGGGUAGAAUACUACAGUAUCACACACAACAAAAAUUAAUGGCAUUCCAGCAUGCAUAAGAGGAUAAAACCCUUUGACGCUCUAACAGUGUUUACCAUAAAGGAACCAUUUAUAUGGUAACUUGAAUACGCCCCACAGCAGGUGAAGUAGAACAUGAGAUCUGAAGCUAACAACAUUCCGCUAAUUCAAAAAAAAAAAAAAAAGGCAUCAAAAUGCCAUAUAAAUAAUAUAAAAUUCUCUGCCAAUUAGUCUGUCAACUCAAUGCAAGAUAAGCAGGCACUCUAGUCCAGCUUUAUCCGAUCCAUAUCAUUUAUCACUCCUUCAAGCUGUAACAAAAGGUCAAAAAAGUUUACCAUAGUAAGUGAAUAUCCAUUCCAUCCCCAUGUGAUUGGUCAUGCAAGCAUUAAGAAGAAAAUAUAACAUACCUUGACAAUCUGUCGCAGGAAGUAAUCACUAUAUCUUUUCACUGGCUUGCAUUCAACAACAUGAAUCAUGUCCUGCAGCAAAGCAGAGUGUGACUUGCAAUGUUGAAGAAUAUUCAAACUAAUCUCCAAAGACCAAAGAAUUCAUGGCAUAUUUGGUGCACAAGAUUAUAAAUAAGGUAAGAUGAUAUUAUGAAUAGAAUUAGAUUAAAUAAUGUUAUCCUUCUAGUGUUUGAUGUGUGCAAGGAUUAAAAUAGAGUAAUUUUAUUUAUCGGUCAAACUAUUCUUCCUCAAAGUUUAUACAAUUUAAAUUAUUGAUGCAAUUUUUAUGGGUAUAAUAGGACAUGUAAGUUCAAUCCUAUGGAUUAAAAACAAUCCUCUCUAUUUUGUUGAGGAUUGAAUCACCUUAUGCCAAGAGGAUGUCCUUGCAAUCCUAUCCCUCUCUUUAGAUACAAACCAAACAUGGUAUAAGAUUAUCAUCCCAAUCCUAUCCAUCAUUCUAUGCAUCAAACAUGGCCUCAAAGCCUAAUAUAAUACAUCAAAAACCAUCUCUUGAUAUAACUUUAAAUUUUUAUGUACAUUAGCUAGCCUGAGAUUAAUCCAGUUAUCAUUUUCUGAGAGAGCAUAUCACCAAAAACUUGCUCGUGUGUGCUAUCUGUUUCUGCAACUAAAAGAAACUCUAAACAAGGCAUGGUGACUUAAAGCACAUUUUCUCAGCAGCACAAAGAUACUUGCAUAAGCUAAAAAUUUAACGUACAUCAUCAAUGUAGAAGUCCACAUCAGCGUUAGAGAUAAUCUUUCCAUCAGAAUCAACAGCAUGAGUUUUGUGCUUGUACGUUAACAAGAUUGUCCUAUAAAACAUGACACAGGGUCAGUACAUCAUGUAAAAUAAAUUAAGCAUACAUUUAAAUCAAAUACAAAGGAUCAAGAGGAAGAAAAAAGCAAUGUCCACCUCAGAGUGGGCUCAUCCACUUCCAUGUAAUUUGCGAGCUUCCCAAGAGAUAUAGUUGAAUACACUUUAAGAAAUGUCCGGACACCUGACAACAACUGCUGCUGCUUCACUUCAUACAGAAAUAGCUUCAACUGAAGUCUGUAGGCAUCCUGUGAGAUAAAUAAAUGGAGCAGGUAAUACACACAUAACAAACAAAAAGAAGACCAAGCUUAAAGAACAUGCCAAAUGACCUUUUCACUCCCUUCCUCGACAACAUUAAGAUCAAAACUAUCUCUCUCAACCUAUGACUGCAUAAAAUAAGCAUUGUCUAGGGGCCAGAGCUCCAUCCACAUAAGGUACAACAAUUACUGGAACAGACAGAGAUCGUGGAAAAUUAACCGUCUACUAACAUAUAAUGAACCAACAUUAAAUGUGCCUAAGCUCUACAUCCACAUUACUUGUGAAUCUAACAAAAUAAAAUUGCAGAUAUUUUCUGGGGUGUACAACCUCUCAGUUCAAAGAAUUAAUACACAACCUGUGGCCUGAUAAUUGAUUUUUUAAGGGCAACUAUUAGCAAUAAAGUAAAUAUAAAAGAGCCUAACUACAGCAAGUUUAUGUAACAUAAACACGUAUGCUGAAUAACUAAAGGGCAGUGGAUGUAAAUAAUGAAAGGAACAAGCAUAAAUUAUUUAUUUAAUGUACUUCCACAUUCUCAAGAUAGCCUAGAAAAAAUAAAAUCAUUUACCUGGUUGUAAUUUACAAGGGGCUCCUCAAAGCUUGGAGCUGAAGGUGUAAUGAACUUGGGACAUGCAUAUGAGAAGAGCUCAUCAUAGAGGCCAAAAGCUUCAUCAUCAUAUCUUUGCAUCCUAGCCAUCUUUUCACCAUACUUCUCCCGCAACUGAGAGUUAACAGUGUCCUCGACAAGUUUCACUUGGGGACAAAGUGAAAGACAAAUAGCCAGCAAGGCAUACAUCUGUUCAUUCUUUUUCAAUAUUUGUUCAUACUGUGGAGAUUUCUGAUGAUAUUGCUUUGUCUUGUAAAUAUACAAGAGCAUCUUAUUGAAUUCACGAAUAGCCUCCACAUACCUUUAAUAAAAAGAACAACUCUAAUAAUCAAGCUUGGGUAAAAAAGAUGCAAGAAUCGAAAUUGAAUAGAACUUUAGUAAAGGUAGAAAAAAAAAUUCACACAUUAAGAACUCAUUACACGGUAAACAUAGCAAAACAAAAACAUACCUCCUCAACAUAAGAUUGGCAAAACCAUAAUGAUAUAUGGUUGUAAUAUGGCUUCCUAUAACACUGGUGUAAACACCUUGUUGACUAAUGUCAAUAGGAAGCAAGCACUUCAGCCCGGUUUGAUAAUCACCCAAAAGACAAUGAACUCGCAACAAACCCACCAUGCUGAAGUAUCCCAGCACUUUCAAGACAUUGCUUCCACCACUGUAAUCAUACCCAUCAUUAGCAGUAAAUUGUUCAAGACCCUCCUUCUCCUGCUCCAAUAUCUGAAUAAUAUUCGAUUUCUCCACAAACGCUUGCAAGUAGUUAAGCACCCCAUAAACAUUCCAUGCCUAUAAGAGAAAAAGUUAACUUCAAAUCCCAACAACAAUAACAAAAGCAAUAGCAAUAACUACUAUUCAAAUUAAAUUUUGCGUUCAAUAACUAAUAGCGAAUCACUGGGAAUUGAAUUACCUGAUCAUAUUGGCGGAGAAGAGCGAUUUCUUGCUCAGUUUUGUUCUUCAUUUUAGCCCUGUAUUGACAGAAACUCUGGAAUUGGUACACGAAUUCAUCCACCAUGUCCCAUAACCAUUGAUUGGGUAACUGCAUGUUAACCGCCCUAUGCAACACCACCUGAAAAAAAAUCAAAGCCCAAUCAAAUUAAUCCGCGCCACAGAAUCAUAGAUAUUGAUACAAAUUAAAAAUAAUUUACCUGAAAGAGGCUACAAUAAUUAUCCCAAGAAUCGAUCCUCUGCUUGAGAGUGGGCGAAAGGCGAGCAUACAGAUGGCGAAACCACAUCUCACGGUAAAGGAGGCAAAAUACUUGGUCGUUGUCGACGUAAUGAGCGACGGCGUCGACGGAGGGCCAAGGAGCUUCUUUGAAUAAACGGUCCGAGAGGGUUUGGAAAGAGAACUCAUACAUCUGGUGAAUCUCGUAAACAUUUUUCUCGCGAAUGUGACGGUAUAGGUGGACGACGAACGACUUAACGGAGUCGGGGACGAAGUUCGGGUCGUAGCCGAGGUCUUGACGGUGGGCGUCGUCAUAGGUGGCUGAGGCCUCCUCGUACUCGUAGUUGCUUGCCAUCGUUGAAGACAGACAGUAAUCUGAUAAGAAGAUGUUGAUGAGUAACCCAACGAAGAGAUUUGGAGUAUGGUCCGUCGACUGUGAACGAUAGUAGAGAGAGAGAGAGAUUAGGGUUUGUGAGGACAGAACAUUUCAGGACUUGGGGCUUUCAAUUUGUUUAAUACAGAAGCCCAAUCUCAUUCGAAUCCAAUAAGCGUGACAGCUGGGCUCAAUUAAUAGCUAAUUCCCGCUCUACAUUUUGGGCUUUUGUUGCAAGUUUGCAAUAAGCCAGUUUUGUCUAAUCAAGUUUAUAUAGCCAAGAUACAAUAGAGAAACUAAAUGCAAAUUCUACAUUUUUUUUUUUUAUGAUUUUAUUUUUGUUUUCUAAGCAUAAACAUCAGCUGCACCCGGUCAGAAUUGCUAAAUGACAAGAACUGCGCAAUAAAAUUAACUGAUAUUCACACCAACCAAACAUGUUGGAGGCACAAUCAUCUGAACAACUUUUCACGGUUUCUGCCAAUACUGAACUUUUGAAGUUCUAAUACCCCGGUUGGCAAAUACACAAGCUCUACAAGAAAAUGUAGUUAAAAUGCUUAUUGCUCUUUCAUCACUGGGGCUCAAAACACAAAACGACAAUGAGUUACUGUGCUUAACUAUUCACAACCUACGAAGGUCACCUAUGAGAAGAGAAGCAAUGGGGCAGCAAGGUCAACCGGACAUCAUGAUUCUCGCUACAAUUAAAACUCAUUUGCUCAUGAGCUACUGGUUGAACAACUGUCUCCGUACUCCAAAAUUGAAUCCAUCUUCCUGCUGGCAGCAAAGCAGUGAAAAUUCCCCCAAAAAGUCAGUAAGACUGAUGACUUGGCAUCAGAUCACACUCUCUGCCUAUUAGAAGCAGUACGUGUUAUAUGGGGCACUUCAUGGUAACUUUCAGGUUCAUCUUCUUCGUCAGAUGAUAGGAGGGAUGAUCCCAUCCAUGCUUUGAAACCUUCAUUAACACGCCUUUCCACAUCUGGGGUGACUUGCAAGGGGUUAGCCUCCAACAUUUCUAAACCAAGGUUUCUACUACCAAACUCUCCUUCAUCAAGAAUUACAGCUGCUCUCCUUCUUAAGAAGAUAGCGGUUCCUGCAUAUAGAAUCACCAGU